rnacentral:lncRNA from 1 species
UCUCUCACCUCCCUCAACCGACUAUAUAUAUGUGUUGCUGUGUUGUUUAAUCAAAACGGGGAGCCUUAUGUCUUUUUGAAUCAAAGAUUGUUUUGUCCCUCCUCUUCUCGAUUUCUUCUUUCUUGUUCUUGUUCAUAUUUUUUUCCAGAAAAUCACCAUUUAUCAACAAAAUUACGUGACUUUGCCAUGUGAGAGAGGUAGGGAAAAAGAAAGAAAGAAAGAAAGAAAAGAUGGGGUUUGAUCAGAAGAAAAAGGAGAAAUUUAUCUGGCGUUUGUGUUGAUGAUAAUACUCCUGAACACAAAUAGUUGUAGAGCUGCGCUUCUAGUGAAGAGUAACACCACUUAUCAGCGCAAUGGCCGCCUUGACGCAUGCCGAAUUGCACAAGAUUUGGAGCUGGAGUUGGACUUGCCGACCAGUUCAAACGUUAUCAGAAUCCUCCAGGGUGGUAGCGGCACAGUAACUGGUGGCACGACCAAUCGUAAUAGACCAGCUCAAAAUAAUUGCCCAACUGCAUACGGAAAUUGUAUUGCCAACGGAGGUAACGCUGACUGUAGGAACCUAUACUCUUGCGGCCGACAGCAACAAGGUUAAGUCCCUACGGUAGCGGGGAACCGUCAAAUAUCAACUCUAUGUCCUGCCUGCUUUUGGAAGCUCCUUCUGUGCGUUAUGUCCCUUUCAUCUUUUUGUGCUUGUAUGCUAUUUUACUUUUCCUGCAGCAUGAUUCCUGUCGUUAUUAGAAGUGUGUUGGUAAUUGGGCCGAGCGAGUAUGAAUGGAAAGAAAUUAAAUUGCCCCUACAGUUGUAUCAGUUUACUAAUAAUGCUAUCGUCUGGUAAUGAUUUUCCGUCUCCAGAUUUUGGUUCGAUCAACCAUUUUCCGACUUCCAAAUUCACUGCAUCUAAACGUCAUUACUAUAAAUUUAAGCCACUCCAGAUAUUUUCAAUAAUUUCUUUUUUCUUUCUUCAACAAGUGGGAAGAAUUUAAAGAGGAGUAUAAUAAGAAAAAAAAUUCAAAAUUGCAAUAAAGAAAUUGUUAAUCUUAUAUUAAAAAUUCGCGUUUUAUAUUAUUGUUAUUUCAGCACUCGGCUUAAUUCUUGUUGACUCCGCCACUGUCGUUGUUAAUCCGUAAAUUAGGGUCUUUAUCUUAAAUUCAGUUAUUGUUGAUGGUUGGACUAAAAUCGCUAUGCAACUUGGAGUUUGGACCUACUUUCCACCUUCGUAUCUAUCCUUGUUAGUAGGUUUUGUUUUUCAUUGUUCUUUUCUUCUUCUUGUGUUCUCGUACUAAUGAUUUCAUUAGUUUCUCUUAGCAAUUAAUUUCUGUCUUUUACUUUAUCUGAUCCCGAAAUUCAGAUUCCUAAACCUGAACUAAAGUUUGGAAUGUUUUUCUUUAUAAAAGAGGUAUUAAGAUUAUUGAGCUAUAUAUAUGUAUAUGUAUAGCUACGAGCCAUUUUUAUUUUUACUUGGAAGGUAGAAUAUUUCAUUGAUGUAAAACAAGGAUACCAGAUGCCUGAUCAAGUCUUUAGCCUAAGGGAACAGGCACAAGACUGAGUCCUGAAUACCCUUCCUUGUCCAAAAAACACAAAAACGCUUUACACAGCCAACAGCCAUCCUGUGGCUAGUAGCAGAAGCCACCGGACUGGUCUCAACCAUCCCUGUGUUCCAGUACAUUUAAUUACACGCAGUUCCCAGAAACACAGGUAACGACAGUUCUCCUUAAUUCCCACAGCCCAGUGCCAUUAAACAUAUUAUACACCAAGAAUUCCGCCACUCAACUCUCCAAAAUGGAGCAUCUCUCUGCAGCCUUCUAUACCUAUUGGCCCCAGACUUCCUACCGCUUCAUCAACCACCACUUUCCAAACAUAUGACAUAAUUUUCUUAAUUAAUUAUUUAUCUGAUCUUAACGGAUGGGCCAAGAAGACGAAGACCAAGACUAAGACUAAGGGAAGACAUUACCAUCUUCCUCUAUAAUAUGUCCUUGUACUUUAGCACUUUUGCUUUUCACUUUGAUUUAUUAUGUAUCAUAUGCUUCACACCUUGCUUUCCUUUGUGCUUUCCAGCUUUUAUUUGAUUAAAAUGGUCCUCCCCCCAAUAAUUGAAUUCUUUAUUCAAGAAGCAAAUAGAAAGGGAUACCUGUUAAUUAUGAAAGAUCAAAUCAUAAUUUUUUAUUACAUAAUUUUAGACUAUACAAAAGAGAGAUAAUAUUCUUUUAUUAUAUCUCAUAAAUCUUAUUUUAUCUAUUUCAAGAUUGGAAUCCAAAAUCUUCUUAAAUUUUAAUUAUUGGUUGGGUAUUCUUUUAUGGACAGUGUUAACUAAAAUUAACCUGCGGAAAACCAAAUAUUUCAAUUUUAUGUUUGAUUGCUUUAUUUAUUUAUUAUGUUAGGCCAAAGAAUUUUUUAAAUUGAGAAAAAAAAUACACAAGGAGAGGCAAAGGAAAAAAAAAUGUCUCAAAGACCCUAAAGAUAAAGCAAAUAGAGGAUUCUAGAACAAAAAACCUUCCAAAACAUAACGAACAUAUAGACCAUAACCCCAAAGCAGCUAUGUAAAACAGUAAAACUAGAUGCAUUCACAAAAGAACAGACCACCUAGUAAGAGAGCCUAGCAGCAUUUACAGGAAUCGAGAUAAGAACCACAAUUCACCACCAUGCCAUGAACAUGUCAGCUCUACAAACAGCAGACUUUGCCAAAAACUCCGCUCUAGAAACCUGGCAGUAUGUUUGAUUAUUGAUUUGCUUUAACUUCUGGUAAUGGUGUGAGGAGGCGAAACAUGAAAGUUUAAAGCUAAAAGUUUAUUCCCUUCUUUAUUUUUGCGUUAUGGAAGUAAUCAAUUUUGUGGACAGGAUAAAAAGGAAGUAUGUGAUCAGAUUAAAAAAUUGGUGUUAUAUAGUUUGCAUAUUACUAUAAAUCGUAUGAAUUAUGUUUUGAUUUUUAUAUCAUUUCUAUCAUAUCAUGAUCUGAUCACUUCUUGGAUGCCUAGAUUAUAAAUUUAGCAUAUAAUAUAUUAUAGUUAAUGAAUUUAAUUAAUUCGCAUUUGGUGUUUUACUAAUAAGCAUUAGCUCUUUUCUCUUUAUUAUUAUUUUUAUGACCGCAAAGUAUAUGUUCCAUUCAAGUUGGCCAAUAAUAUUCAUUAUUAUAUUUAAUAAAAUAUAUUACUUUUAUGCUACGCAUUUUUCGCUUUCAUUUCUUUCUUUUAUUGAUAUUAUAAAAUUGAUAGUAUGAAGUAAAUUUAUUUUUAAUCUAUUUAAAUAAACAUGUAAGUUAGAUUCUUUGCCUUUCAAAAACAAAAAAAAUAAACAUAUAAACAUAUUAUAUUUAUCAUAUAAAUAAACAUAUAAGCAUAUUACAUUACAAUAUUAAAAUUAAAUAAUUACUUUCCACUAGAAGAAAAAAAUUAAAUUUACUUUUAAUAUUUUCAUUAUAAUUAAUUAGCAUUAAUUAUUAUAUUAUUUUUUAUAUCAUGAUUGAUAGUUAAUUGAUACGCUUUUUAUGUAAAAUUUCAUAAAUGACUUUGACAAUUAUAUAAUAAGUAAAUAAUUUUAAUUAUAUUAUUUAAUCAUAUAUUUAUUUUAUUUAAAUAAGUGUGUAUGCCACUCUUUUAAUUUACUUUUAUUUAAUAAGAAUGUUAUUAUGUCAUUUUAUUAUUUCGUUUUCCCACUUUUUUCUUCUUCAUUUUCUUUUUUUUUUCCUCUUUCUUUUAAUGGGUUAAAGUAGUCAAUUUUAUCAUCUUCCUCCUCCCUCUCUCAUCGUUUCUCACUCUCUUUUUUUUGUCCUAUUUCUUCUAUUUUCCCUAAUCUUUCUCUCUUCCCAAUUUCCCCUCUCUUUUGUCACAAUUCCGUUCUUUUUCUUUUCUUUUAUUUUUGUUAAAAGAACACGUUAAGUAUCCAAGAAUAGUCUAAGUCAAGUGCUAGAAAUUAAAUCCUUUGGGAGGAUUCUUAGGAGAUCUUCAGUCGUAGGCGGUGGUUGUUGUUAUUAUUAACUAGAGUGGUGCCCCGCUUUGCAUGGGGUUAAUUUUUUAAUAAAGAAUAAUUAUAAAUUACAUACAAUUAUAAAUAAAAUAAUAAUAAUAAUUAAAAAGUAAUUUUAAAUUUGAAAAAAUUAUAAAUAAUAGUAAUGAUAAUAAAUGAAAGCUUAUUAUUUUAAAAAAUAGAUAUUUUAAAAAGAUUUUCUUAUGUCUUACUAAGUAAAAUUUUUUUUUUAAAUAAUUUUUUUUAAAAUUUAAUUUUUUAUAUCUUAAUAUAUGUUAAUAUUAAUAUAAUCAUAUUUUGUUAAUUAUGAUGAUUCCAGUAGUAAAAUAAAAUUAAAAUUGANUUUUUAAUUUUUGCAAAGAUUUGAUAUUUUAUAUCUUAAUAUAUGUUAAUAUUAAUAAAAUCUUACUUCAACUUUCAUCAACAUUUUUUUAUCCCAUGUCUUUGUAAUUAUUUAGAAUUAAUGCACCUUGUGAAAAUAAUCUUGGGAUUGCCCAACAAUUUUAGAAAGUACUUAUUAAAUUUAUUAAAUUAAAUUUUUUAUUUUUAUUUAUUUUUUAAAGUAAUUUGAUAAAUUUAAUUUAUAGAUAAAAAAUAAUUACAUUAAUAAAAUAAAUUGACUAAAUCUAAAAUAGAAUCGGUUAGGGCUUCAGUGAAUCCAACCCACUUCUUCUUUUUCUUCUUUUUGUAUCCAUAAAACGACGUUGUUUUGAUUUUCCCUAAACCUAGCUGGCAACCCCUUUCCCUUUUCUUCAUUUUUGCUCGCUUCUUCUUCUUCUUCUUCUCCCACUGACCCUAGCAACCAACCUGUUUCUCUAAACCCUCCCUCCCUGACUCGGUUCCAGACGUCACCUCUUUUGUCGGACUGGGCAUUUUCGGCAAUGACUCCCUCUUUCUUUCCCUUUCCUUUUUUCUUCUUUUCUUCUCUUCCCCUUCCUUCUGCUUCCAAUUUCCUCUCUUUCUAAAAUGACCUAGCCACCGUUCCUCUCGAAGUGCAAGUUUCCUUCACUCUGUUGUUUUUGUUUUUUUUUUUUGGAGUGGUUUUACUUUGCUUCCUUGCCUAUUGAUGUUUUUUGGAGUAAAACUCAAUUGAACCAAAGCCAGAGCGCGAGUUGGUUCUAGUGAGCAUAAAAAGAAAAUACCACACAUGCAUCCUCAACAAAUCAAAUAAUAAUGAGAUGAUAUGGAGUCUUUUGAAUGAGAUGCUGUGGUUACUUGUAAAGACGUGUUAUCUGGAGUUCAGAAUUUUGGAUUGGAUUGCAACCUGUUUUUUAUUGAUCUGGAAUGAGUUACUGAGCAGGGGGAUUUUGGUAUGACUUUAUAGCUUCAUGCUGGUUUUGAAUCUUCAUCUGUUUGUAAAUUGCUGAUAGGGAUGUUUGUUUUUGGUGAUCUAUUUUUUGAUGGCUUCUCCUAGGCAGUUUGUCAAUAUGAUUUUGAGAUGAUAUGAUGAUCAAGGCAUAGCAUCUUAAAAUCAUCUGCUUUGUUUUUGUAUCCGGGAACUUAUCCCUAUUUUUCGAUGAAUGAAAUCCAUUAAUUUAAAAAAAAUUAAAUCAAAUAAUAUUAUAUAUAUUUUGAACAAAUGUCAUCCAAAAAGAGCCACGACAUGGCUAAAUUUGAAAACCCUUUGGGGAUUCUUUUUACUUAUGAUAUAGAUAUAAAUAAAUCUCUUAACGGAGUGCUUUUGGCAUAAAUAACGGUAUUGAUAGUAGUAAAAUAGAUAUGUAAUUUUGAUAUUUAACUUAAAAAUAUCGCAAUCAAUAAUGAGAAAGCAGGAAACUGAGGAUUCGAGAUCCUUUAUGAAGCCACUAAAAUCCUUUGCUUUAUGUGAAUAGACUCGUAAAGUAAAAGCAGAAAGAGCAGGUAGCUUUUAAGAUAAUAUAUAUGUUUGAGGGAGUUUCCUGACCUGAUGAGAACAAUUAGGCCAGCAGGUCUAAGUCUAAAAGUGAGAAAGAUGUAUUCCACCUAAAGACGUGGAGACCGAUUAGGUCCACAAAUGACUCAACUCAACCAAGCUGUUGAAAUUUGUUUAUUAAAUGAGUUUAACUUUGAACAUAAACGCACGCUUGUUUAACUAGUCGUGUUGGAAUAUUUUGGGUGUUAAACAAUAAUAGAAGCCUAAGAUAAUAGAAGAAAGAGAUUGGAAGAAACAAUAAUAGAAGAAAGAGUUGAAAUUAAGUGAUCUUUUUUUGUUUUUUUAGGUUUCGUUUUAGUUCAUUUUUUGGUGUUGGUACGUAUGUUCUUGAUUGAUCUUCUUAAUAUAAUGAUGUAUAAGCUGUUAUAUUAAUAAAACUUUGCUUUAAUUGAGAAAAAAACAUUUCUAACAAAUCUAAAAAAUUUGUUCACAUUGGAUCAAUUUUUUUACCUAUGCUUAGCUCAUUUCUUUAAUUCACACGUGUAAACUGUUGGACGCUCUACUUUUUUGGUCCAUGGCAAUGUGUCUUUCCAAGCAUCGAGUGCUCAAUUGAGGCAAUAUAAAAAGGCUCAAACUUUUUUUAGGGAAAGCUGUAUGCAUAUACAAACAUAUAUAUAGAUACAGUAUGUAGCCAUUCCAUAAACUUAUAUUUCAGUAGAGAAAGAAGUCUUUAAACUUCGUUCUCAUUUCCUUCCAUGGAGAAUAUCUCAAUGAUAAUUCCCAUAACCUUUCUCGUUCCUUUCUUUCAGUUUGCUUUCUUUAUUACAUCUGAGCAGCCCCCAUAUAUCCCAACAGAUAAUAUAACCCUGAAUUGUAAGGCUCUUUCCGAUUCACAUGGUUCGGAUGGCCGCUUUUGGGCUGGAGACAAGAGCUCAAAAUUUGGUCCUUUCGAAUCAUCCCGUGACAAUCCGUCAGCACCCUAUGAAGCUGCUAAUCAAGGUGGCUUUGUAAAGACAGUCCCUUAUAUGAACGCCCGUGUCUCUAGUUCCGAAUUCAAGUACAAUUUCCCCGUUAGUCCGAGCCAGAAAUUCGUCGGGCGCCACUUUUAUCGGGCUUCAUAUAAAAAACUUAAACCUAUCCAAGGCCUUUUUCUCUGUCAAAGCAGGUUCUUUCACUUUACUGAAAAAUUUCAGUGCUUUCCUUGUUGCUGAAUCAUCAAACGUUAAAUCAUUUUUUAGAGAGUUCUGCUUGAAUGUAGAAGAGAAUCAAGGGUUGCAACUGAUUUUCAGUCCAACUCCUAGUUCUUCAAAUGACACAUACGCUUUCAUCAAUGGAAUCGAGAUCGUGUCAAUGCCUCCCAACCUUUACUACACACCAUCAGAUUUGUUAAAGGGUGAUCGUUUUAUUGGCCAAAAAAUUGGGUUUUAUGUUGAUAAUUACACUGCACUUGAGACGGUUUAUAGAUUGAAUGUUGGUGGCAAAUCCAUCUCACAAACGGAAGAUAUUGGCAUGUUCAGGCUAUGGCCUGAUGAUUGAUUAUAUUUUGAGUGAGAGCUAUUCCACUGUCAACACCACAGUACCACUCAACUACGCUACGAUUCCAAAAUACACUGCACUGGAGGAGGUUUAUCAGACAGCUCGGACGAUGGGUCCUGAUGGUGAUUACAACAAAAAAACACAACAUAACAUGGGGAUUGCCCGUGGAUUCAGGAUUCACGUAUAUUGUAAGGCUUCAUUUUUGCAAAUUUCAAGAUGUGAUAAGUUCAGUGGGAAUAAGACAGUUCCAGAUCUUUAUAAACAAUCAGACGGUUGAAGCAGUUUUUGACGUAAUUAUUUGGACUCAGCAAAGCAAUGUUCCAAGUUAUAAGGAUUAUGUUCUGUUGAUGUCAAAGGAGGAGAAUAAGCAGGAUAUUACUAUAGCACUGCACCCUAAGUAUUACAAUGUUAUCUUAAAUGGAAUUUAAGUGUUCAAAGUGAACGGUUCUGAUGGCAAUCUGGCCGGACCCAACCCUGAACCAUUGCUGGCUUCACCACCUCCUGAAUCGUUCAAUCCUACAAGUGGAAAAUCCAAGAUGAAGCGAAGAGUGCUUGUUGUGGAAAUUACAGAAUUGUCUCUAAAAACUUACCUUAGAUCUUACCCAAUCUAUAGAAUAAAGAAAAAAAAAUCAAACACACCCACAAGAAUACAAGAAUAUACGUGGUUCAGUAUUUGAUAACUUACGUCCCCAGCCAAAGCAACAGAGAAAGAUUCACUAAGAGAAAAAUUUAUUUUUUCAGAAAAAUCAAGAGAUUACAAGAACAAUCUCAAACUCACAACCCUUAUCCCACGUACACCCAAACCACUAUCUCUAAAUCUAAGUGAUAAUUAUUCUUUAGCCUCAUAGGGUCCUUUUAUAGUGCCAAAUUCAAUAAUCUUAUCAUAAUACAAUUAGAAUAUGUUAUUCUAGUCUAACUAGAUUUAAAGACUAUUUUAAUAAGGUAUACAAUUUUAAAUAGAAUUAAACAAUUCUAAUUAAAUCACAAUUCAAGACUAUCCUAACAAAUCUCCACCUUAGGCAUGAAUUCACCAAGCUCUACCUUACGAACCAAUCUCUGUCAACACCACCAAUGCCCCAAAGGGCCUCAAGCACUACGGACACUGAUCAAGUCCAAGCAAUGCUUCAACUUUAUCCCAGAAACUAACUUAGUCACCAUAUUUGCUAGGUUUUCAACUAUAGUUAUUUUCUUCACUAUAAUCUUAGCUCUAGAAACAAUCUCUCGAUGAAGUUAUACUUGACUUGGAUAUGUUUGGUUUUCUCAUGAAACAUUUGAUUUUUAGUCAAGUCUAUGGCACUUUGACUAUCACAAAACACAAGUAUAUAUGCUUGUCCAAAACCAUGAUCACUAGCCAAGCCUUGAAACCAUGAAGCGUCUUGUCUCGGUCACAGCCAUAUAUUCAGCUUUAGUUGUAGACAAAGCAACUAUUACUUUCCAACUGAUUGCAAACCUUGAGAGAGUGAACACAUACCCCAUUCGAGAUCUUCUACUAUCUAGAUUACCAGCAAAAUCUGAUUUGGAAAGGUUAACCACAUUACAACUAUUAUUUGCACCUCCUUCACACACUAAGCCAACAUCAAUAAUACCUUUAGGUGUUUUCAUAAGCACCCAUGUUUGAUCCCAAUGUAAAGACUCAAUCUUCUUAGGAGACUUGGCAUACGUAAUUGCCUCAUGAUAAAAGUAAGGCUCAUCAAUAUCUACUUCCACAAAUAAAACAUAAGAAUCAAAAUCACCACCAAUACAAGUAAUGUUUUGUUGAGAUACCAAUUUUUGUACCUCUUGCAGUUUAUUUUGGAUUUCACUAUCAUCCCACACUGUCACAAGAGCAUUGAUUUCAAGCUCCACCUGCAUGCCAACUUCCUGGUUUGAUGUGAUUGUAAUUCUAGACUUUAUCCCACGAAGUAAUGUUGACUUGUCAAAGAUAACAUUCUGACUCACCACAAACUUGGGGAACUUACAAUCAAUACACCACAAUUGAUAACCCUUCACCCCAAAUACAUAUCUUAGGAAUAUGCACUCCAUUGGCCUCAACUUAAGUUUACCAUCACUCACAUGAGCAUGAAUAGGAUAACCAAAUACUCUUAAUAUAGAGUAAUCAGCGGGUUUACCAAACCAAACUUCCUCGGGAGUCUUAAAUUCAAUUGCAGUUGAUGGAGAUCGAUUUACCAAGUAGCAAGCCAUGUUGAUAGCUUUUAUCCAGAAUACUUUAGUUAGGUCAACAUUAGAGAGCACGUACUUUGCUUUCUCCAAAAGUGUUUUCUUCAUCCAUUCUACAAUACUGUUUUGAUGUGGUGUUUUGACGACAGUGCGAUGUUUAACGAUUUCCUAAUUCUUGUAGAAUAGACUAAACUCACUUUUUCAAAAUUCCAAACCUUUAUUUGUUCGAAAGCUUUCAAUCUUUUUCUUAGUCUGCUUCUUGAUCAAUGCUUUCCAAUGCAAAAAAUUGGUUAACACUUCACUCAUAGCUUUCAGAAAAUACAUCCACACAUUUCUUGAAAAAUCAUCAAUAAAGGUCCACAUGUAUAAUGAUCCACCUUUUAAUGCCACUAGAUAAGGAUCCCACAAAUCUGAAUGGUUGUAGUUUACUGUACUUUUGGUUCCAUGAGUUGUAGUGCUAAAUUUCACUAUAUGUUGCUCACAGAAAUCUAGUUUUUCAGUCUUUUGACUACACAGUAAACUACGCUUACUUAGUUUUUUAAUCCUCCUCUCGCUCAGGUGGCCUAAUCUCAUAUGCCAUAAACUUGUUACAUCAUCUUCAGGAUCAUUAGAUGAGACCACAGAAACAGUUUCAAUGAUCGUGUUUCUCACUAGACAAUAAAGGUCACUGGAUAACUUGCCCUUCAUGAUAAUUAAAGCUCAUUUAAAUACAUUUAAGACACCAUCUUGGCCCCUAUAUUCGUAGCCUUUUUUAUCAAACAAACUCAAGGAUUUCAAAUUCUUUUUCACGUCAAGGACAUGUUUCACCUCAAGUGUUCUUACCAUACCAUCAAACAUGUUAAUUCGAAUUGUGCCAAUCCCAACAACUGAGAGAGAGAAAUCAUCUCCUAAUUGUAUAGUCCCCAUAUCAACAGAUUGAUAAGUAGUAAACCAAUCAUGCGUAGGACAUAUAUGAAAGUAGCAAGCUAAAUCCAAGAUCCAUGUAUCCAUUAGGUUAUCGUUGAUAAUUGCAAGAACUUUAUCAGUUUCCUUAAAAGUAUCAAAGUCAUCUACAACUACGUUUGUAGUACUUUCAGACUUAUUGAUCUUUUCAUCAUCCUUGAAUUUGGCACAGUCUUGAUGGAAGUGCCUUUUCUAACAACAAUUCCAGCAAGUUUUUCUUUUUGCUCUAGAUUUACCUUUUUUGUCAAUAUCCUUCUCUCUAUCUUUUCCUCUAUUCAUAACCAAACCUUCUGCUUGAUUUUCAUUCUUGAUACUACCAACUCUCUUCUUCAAUUCCUUGGAAUUUAAAGAUGCCCUUACAUCCUCGAAAGUGAGAGUGUCUCGGCUAUAUAACAUAGUAUCUAUGAAAUUUUCAUACGAUGGAGGCAAAGAACAUAGAAGAAUUAGGGCUAGGUCUUCAUCCUCAAUUUUAAUAUCUAUUUUUUUUAAAUCAAGAAUAACUCUAUUAAAUUCAUCAAUGUGAGCAUUAAUGGACGUACCUUCACUCAUCUUGAAAGUAUACAAUCAUUGCUUCAUAUAAAGUCGAUUCGUCAGGGAUUUGGUCACAUAAAUAUUUUCGAGUUUAGGUCGCACUGUAGCAUUAAAUUCUUCAUCCGUGACUUCUCUUAGCACCUCAUCAGACAAAACUAGGAGAAUAGCACUAUGUGUUUUUUCAAUAAGGUCAUCUUUCUCACCAUCAGAUAAAUCUGCGAAAAGAUGCUCUUUUCCCUUCAAUGCCUUUAACAGUCCUUGUUGUACUAGCAAUGCACGCAUCUUAACACACCACAAGCUAAAAUCAUUUAUUCCAUUAAACUUUUCAAUCUCAUACUUGGUAGAAGUUGCCAUAAUGAGAUUUAGAUUGACUCAAGACCUCGAAGCUCUGAUACUAGUUUGUUGUGAAAAUUAUGAAGUUGUUCCUAAAGUAUUGCCCAAGAUCUUACCCAAUUAAUAAAAUAAAGAAAAAAAAUGAAAUCAAGCACACCCACAAGAACACAAGAAUUUACGUGGUUCAAUCUUUUGAUGACCUACGUCCACAAGCACAACAACAGAGAAAAAUUUACUAAGAGAAAAAUUAGAAGAUUACAACAACAAUCUCAAACUCACAGCCCUUAUCCCACGUACACCCAAAUCACUUUCUCUAAAUCUAGGUGAUAAUUAUUCUUUAGCCCAAUAGGGUUUUUUUAUAGUGCCAAAUACAAUAAUCUUAUCAUAAUACAAUUAUGAUAUAUUAUUCUAGUCUAACUAGAUUUAAAGACUAUUUUAAUAAAGUAUACAAGUUUAAUUAGAAUUAAACAAUCCUAAUUAAAUCAUAAUUCAAGACUUUCCUAACAGUGCUAAUUGCUGGUGGCGGGUGUACAGUGGGUUUGCUUACCUUGCUUUCUCACUAAGGGGUCUUAAUUGGUUGACAAAGUUUAGCCUAUUAGACCCCUUUACUAGUUAAUUAAGGUGCCUUAAGGACCUUACUUUUAUCUACGUACUAGAAUAUCUCUCAUCGUUUCUCACUCUUGUUUUUGUCCAUUCUUGAUUUUUUUUUAUUUUUUCUAAUUAUUCUCUAUUUCUAUUUUUCCCCUUUCUUCUGUCACAAUAGUAAUACAUGACGUUAAAAGAACACGUCAUGUAUCCAAGAAAAGUCCAAGUUAAGUGCUAGAAAUGAAAUCCUCUGAAGGGAUUCUUUAUAGUAAGUAGUAGUUUUUGUUAUUAUAAUAAAUACAUAGAACUUCUAAAUGAUUAAUAAAUAGCUCUUUUAAGAGGAUUCUUCAAUAGUAGGUUUUUGUUGUUGUUAAUAUUAUUAUAAAUAAAAAUAAAUAAAUAAAAUUACUACAUAUUUAAUAAAUAGAUGGGAACGUGUUAGAAAAAGAAUCUCUUAGUGGAGUGCUUUUUAUAUAAAGGUAUUGAUAGUAAACUUCAUCUCUCCUUUACUUGGUGGCUCCCAAGCACCUUUUUCUUUGACGAUCCUCUUUUCGGCCUAGUCACAAAUAAAUUGGGGUUUCUAGCUAUUCCUUCUAUUGAAUCGCUUUUUUCUAGCCACUUUGCUUUUUCCCACCAUGCGACCCUUAAUCUAGCCACAUCGUUACAUUGUUUCCCAUCCUAACCUUUUUCUUGGAAUACAACUUCAUUCCUCAUGAGCCAAUCAACCAAAUAAUCUCAAAGAAAACUAAUCUCUUAAUUUUCUUUUCCUCUACUUGAACCAGCAUUCCAAGAUAAAAAGAAUUGUAUUACCAUCAUCUUAACAACCCAAAAAAUUCCCCAUUGUUCACUCCACUCAUUCCAAAUAUUCCAACUCUCUAUACAUUCAAAAAAUAAAUGGUCGACACACUCUCUCUUUUCCUUACAUAGUAAGCACACAUCCAAAUUCCCCUUCAAUACUCCCAUUUUUGCCAAUUCUUCUUUUAUUGCAAUCCUACCUUUCAAGACCCUCUAGCAAAAAACCUACACCUUUGAAGAGGCCACCUUGCCUUAAACCUUCCUUUAGUGCUAUUUCGCCCUACUUUCAUCACUUACUGCUACUUGACAAUAUGAUCUAAUCGAGUAGUUUCCUUUUGGUGUCCACUUCUAAAUAACCUUAUCUUGAAAGCCCUCAACCACUGGGUUUUCUCUAAAGGCUUCAAGGAAUGCGUCCCAUUGUUCUUUCUCCCAUCCUAGGAUAUUCCUUCUAAGCUCUAUUCUCCAUUCCCUAAAUUCCCUAACUACACCUUUAUUUCUUGCUAGUGCAUAGAUCUUGGGGAACUCUCUUCAAAAUCAUCUGUUUAAUCCACUCCUCAUUCUAAAAGGAGAUGUUUUCCCAUUCCCCAAGCUAUACCAAUCCCAUUAUUGAUCAAAUCAUGGCCUCUAGCCCUUGAAUUUAAAGGUGUCACUAUGUUUCUCCAAACAAGAGACUAUCUAUUACUAUUUCCUGGUUUAAGGAUAAACCCUUUUUGCCCACCUCUUUUUUUCUCCAUCAACACUCUCCUUCAUAAGUUAUUUUUCUCAUUUUCAUACCUCUAUAUCCACUUGUUCAAGAACGUCUCAUUUUUAAUUUACAAAUCCACCAGCCUUAACUUAACGUACUCCUUAAGUACACAUUAUGAUCCUCAAUCAAUAAAGUGCACCCUUCUUUCCUGAGCAGAACACCUCAAAAGGAAUUUUUUUUGGAUUUUGUCAAGUUCUUCCUUCACCCCCACCAGCAUACAAAAGAAGGACAUAAAAAGAAUCGGGAAACUAGCUAAAAUUGAUUUCAUUAAGGUUACUCUACCACCCAUUAAAAGCAUUUUCCCUUUCCAUCCCGUAAGUCGAUUUUCAAACUUUUCAAUUACUGGUCUCCACAUUUCCUAAUUAUUAUUUUGUGCUCUUAGGGGAAGCCCUAAGUAACUAGAUGAAAACUCUUCCUUUCUGCACUUAAACUUCCUAGCCCACUCAACUAACACCAUAUUGUCAAUUCCCACUCCAAAAGACUACUCUUCUUAAAAUUGAUUUGGAGCCCUAAAAUGAGUUGGAAACAUCUAAGAAUUCUCUUAACAUUCUGAAGUGACUCUCGUUCUAGCUUACACACGAUUGCCAUGUCAUUAACAUACUAGAGAUGAGACAUCAUAAGUCCCUUUUGACUUAUUGUAGUCUCUUUGCAAAUCCCAAGUUGCAUUGUUUUACUCAUGAUCACACUCAAUGCCUCAACAACACAGUUAAAAAGAAAUGACAAUACAUAUAAUAUUAUAUAUAUUUUUAUAAUUAUAAUUUAUAAUUUAUAUGUUUUGGUUUUGAUUAAUGGACUUCCACUUCUGUCACGACCUGGUACUCCCCUCGAGCUUGUGACAACUGUCGCGGUGUCCCGAUAGACACUCAUCACCCGAAAUGUCAACUGGAGCCUCGCAAGGCUUUAAUAUCAGUUUCUCAUUCCCCCUGUGAGUAACCGUUGCUAAAUAUCAUAUUCUAAACGAUUUUAAGUUAUUUUCAACUAAAAAUAAAUAAAAUAAUAAUUUUCGUCUCAUAGGGGUAUUUUGGUCAUUUUUUCCAAAAAUUUCAAAAUUCGCUAAAAAUAUAGUAUGCUAGUACAAAACACAUAAUUCAUACUUAAAAAUAAGUUUAAACGUCUAAAACUUUCAUUUAAAAUGAAAUUAUAAUUAUUUGAAUAUAAUAAAAAAAUAAAAGAAAUAUUCAAUAAAAUAUUUUAUUUUCUUAUAAAACAAUAUUUUUAGAGUUAUACAUAAAUAAUCUUUGCAGCGUAAAAGCAAAAUAAAUUCAUACAUACUGUAAUACAGUAAGCCAGAGUAUUUAAUUUAAUUUACAAUAACCAGUAGGCUCCCGAAUAACUAAAAGUAAAGAGGACUGUGAACCUACAGUUUGGAGGAUGCAAAUCCAAUAGUAGCCUUGAUGAAAUCAGCUAUCUACAGCCUAUUCUGAGCUUGAAAUGGAUGGAAAGGAGGGUGGUAAAAUUAUAUAAUCCCAGUGAGUAAACAAACAUCAUUCAAAAUAUCUAAAGUCGAGUAAAAAGAUAUGAUUAAAAUAUUUCAUCUAAAUAUGUAUUUCAUAACAUAAAUAUUCAUUUCAUUUAAAUAGUCAACAUGGCUUAUGAGUAUCUUAAAAGCUUGGCUCCUGCCAAAAUCAUUCUCGGGAAUACCUUGGCCGAGGUAUUUAACCGAGUCUACCAAGGUUGUUAAAAAGUUCGUAUACACAUAAACAUAUUUUUAGUUUGAAAAACAUAGUCGUUCCUUGGCGUUAGCGGAGUUCAUUAUCACGAGGUGGUUCGGUGUGACAUGAACUCUAACCAUACCUCAAGAGAUACCCUACGCGCCUCUUCGACUAAGGUACAUAUAUAACCAGAUUUCGUGCCCCUCUAAUAGGCUGGUCCACAGAACCCGCCCACUGCAGCAAGCUAAACCCACUAUAUAAAAAAAUUUUGACAGCAUGACAUGGCUAAUAUAAUACUAUCCAGCCUGUAAAUGUAAAAUAGAGCAAUUCAUACAGUUCACAAAAACACAACCCAACCAGUCAUGCCAACACAUUAACAUAAGCCAUCAAUUCAAAUAAUAAAUUUACAACACCUCAAGUGGUCUCCAGUUACUCUACUUUCAAAGUCAUCAUUCAAUUUCAAGACAAUUUAUAAAAUCAUUUUAUUUAAACACAUUUUGUUUGUAAAACCUAGAAAUUAACCAUUUAAACUCAUAUUCCAUAAAAUUCACAAAAAUCGAAUAAAAAGACCACUUUAGAUAAUUAAAAUGAUGAUAAGGUUACUCAUUAUUUCGAGAGUCAAAUUUUUAAAGUACUUUGACUAUCGAUCCUCGGGUACAAUUUCUUUGCCCUUAGCAGAGGAUUCACCACCUAGACAUGAUGCAAAAUCAAGUAAUUUACCACAUUGGUGCUAAACCGUUAUAAAACUAUAUGGAUGCAUGAAAUGGAAUGCAAAUUGUUCGAAUUAUCGUCUAAACACGGUGUUCGCCUAAUUCGAUCUAUCACUUAAUUAAUUGGCCAAUUCAACUCUAAUUAACUGUAUUUUUCUUUCAAUUCUCCAAACCAUCAAUCACAAAUUCAAUAGCAUAAAAUUUAGCAACAUCACCUUCACAUUUUUCCUUGGGAAUUUCGGCCAUGAUGGGUGCAUCAAUACUAUAAUUUUUUCUACUUGAUUUUCUCACUGAAAUUCAUCAUUUCCUAACCAAAUCACUUGAAAUAACAAUCAAAAUCAUCAUCGAUAUUCCACAUGGAGAAUUCGGCCAAUGAUGGGUAAUGAGAGAAAAAAAAAUUUUCUUGUUGGUUUUUCAUGCUACACAUCAUUAACUAACUAAAAACACUAAAAUACAUUGAAAUCUAACCAAAUCAAGCAUAAAACUCCUCCCCCCAUGUCCGGCCAGCAAGGGAUUCAUCAUGAUUUCAUAUGAUUCAACCAUGGAAAAUCAAAAAGAAUGCAUGGGAAAGGUAGAUCUCAAGCUUUAUUGAAAAAAUCUUACAUUUUUCACUUGUUUCCUUGAAUUUUCACACUUUUCCUUUGAAUUUUUCCACCUAGGGUUCUUGUUCUUUCUUUUCUUCCUUUUUUCUUCUUUGGCCAGCCAUAUGAAUGAGAAAUAGGCUGAUUUUGUGCUGAUUUUAAAGCUAAAUAAUAAAUGGAUAUAAACUUGACACAUGUCACCAUUCUAUUGGUUCAUGUGUCAUACUUACCCAUUAAGCAAUCUCCCUUCACCACUUAAAUUUUCUCAAUUAUCGAUGAUAAUAUUGGGUAAAAUCUAUGUGCUGGAUAAGUGAUGGGUGGUGUAAAAUUACAAUUUUGCCCUUGGAGUGGCAAAAUGAUUAUUUUACCCCUAUGCUUGAAAAAAUGUCGGAAUUAAAAUUUUUCACUUCUCAAACUCAAAUUAUAUUCUAAAUAGUCAAUCUUGAUUAAAAACUUCUUCCAACAUACACAUCUUAACCUCGGAUUACAAAAUGACCAUUUUGCCCCUAGAUCAUGAAAAUUCUAAUUUGACUCCAAAUCGGUCCUCGAACUCCGAAUCACUAUUUUAAGUCAUUCUGAAAUUUUAAAAUUCUCAAUUUCAUCUUAAAAUCUCUACUUUGUCUAAUUCGAGGCUUAAUUUAACUUAGUACUAGGUACACUACCGACUUUUGACAAUUUUUCAAGGCUUUCCAAGUAUGCAAAUAUAUUGUCAAUCACAUGAAUGACAUGGCAAGUAUUUUAUAAGGUCGGGCUUGAUACUUCAGUUCCUCAAUUUCAAGUUAGAUCUUUUGGGUUUCAUAUUAGUAAUUAGUUCAACUUGAAGAAGAAUAAGAAGAACAAAGAGGCCAUUCAUUACCAACCCUUAAAUACUACAAUAAUUGAGACUCCGUUUGCUUUUUGUCCUUUUUCUAAGUCAUUUUAUUUUUAUUUUUUGCUUUUUGUUUCUAUUCAUUUAUUUUGUAAAGAAAAUAAUAACAAAAGUAUCAACUUGUAACACCUUAUCCUAUAUAAUAUCUAAACUAAAAACCCAAAAUAUGACACAAGUCUAUUAUUUAUUAUUAAUAAAUAAUUUGAGCUUUUGUUGGAAUAUUUCACUAAGUAAAUGACUUAUUACAAGCAACUCUUUUAUAUUGGGUUUGAGGAUAUACAAAACUGAAUUUGAAUACAGAAAAAUAAAAAAUUAUAGUUGGAUUUCUCCUUUCAUAGUGAGUAGAAACUUUCUCUUUAUUGAGAAAAGUUUGAUUUAUGGUUAGGUUGCCGAAGUUUAGGUUAAAAGUUUAUUAGGAAUAUUUAGAAAUUAUGCAAUUUAGAUAAGUUUUAUCUAUCACUUGGUUGAAAUUAGAGAAUGUAUUUUUUUUUUCAAAUUGUAAUCUUUCUUUCAUGAGUUAAACAUAAAUUUAGUCUUGGGUUUAAGGUACAUAAGAAUUGAGGAUAAAUCUAUUUGUAUCAUAUAAUUUACGAAUUGAAUUAUGUAUUAAUUUUUAUUUUUUUAAUUAUUUGAAUUUUAUAUGAUUGAAAAGCUAAUUAAUUCUACUUUCUAAUAAAUCAAAUGAAAUUGAAUUUCGUGGUUUCUAAGUAUAGAUAUUUUAUUUUUGUUGAAGAUUGCUCAAAAUUGAUACCAACUAUGGACACUCGCACCCAAUAUGUAAAGUAUUAUCUACUUUAACUUGGAAUUGAAAAUUUUCAUGAUUGUUUUUAUAAAAAAUGUCUCACAAAUAUAUAUAAGUUUAAUUCUCUACAUAUAUAUCACAAUCAAGUCUAAAAAAUUCUCAAUAUGAAAGUUAAGGACAUCACAAUUCACUGUAACAAAUUUAACUUUAGACAACAUAUUUUUAAAAUGUACUACUAAAAAUAUUUUUAAUAACACUUUCUUUAUGUUUUUUAGAACAUUUUGUAAAUCCAACUUCAUUAUAUAAAUUUUUAGAUGCAUUAUGAAUAAAAUGUAACAAUAGAAAUUACAUAUGCUAGCAAAGGUUUUAUUUUUUUUAUAUUGCUACUAAAUGUGAAAAAAACGAAGUUAAAAGUUUAAAUAGUUGCACUUUUAAAAAUUUUACUAUACAAAAAAAUAUGUCGCUUAAACAAGUGUGAUUAAAACUCAAUUUUUUUUGUAGUGAUUAAAAAAAAUGGAUAAUACCUUGCAACUUCCGCCGGCAUUUCCACACAACCAAAAGAGCCUAAUAGUUUUCAAUUCAAGUAGGAACAAGUCUCAUAUAUGUAUAUAAAUAUGUAGUAGAAGAACAUAAAUUUAUGGCGUGCUGCAGGGGCGGCUCAAUAAUCUCAAAAGAUUAAAGUAAAAUAUUCAAAUGAGGCAUUUUCUAUUAAAAUUAAGAAAAAAAUUAAACUUUUAUUCUUCUAGUUUUUUUAGAUGUAAAGUUUCUAAUUAAACUUUUAUAAUCAAAUUCUUCUAAUAUUUUUUAAUAAUUUUUUAUUCAUUAUUUUUUAUUACUUGUAAUAAAUUUAUCAAGUGCUCUUUUUGAUAUUGUAUUAAACUUUCCAUUUUUCUUUUUUAAGCUUUGAAUAGCUAGAUUUAUAUUUUUAUUUGACAUAUUCAAAUAUUUAUUAUGAAGUACAAAAAAUAUUUAGUUAUUAUAAUUAUCUUAUAUUUUUUAAAUGACAAAUAUAAAACCAACAAUUGAAAUUUCUAAUUCAAAUUAAUUAACUAUCACAUAAAAUAAAGACAAUAUAACAAUACAAUAUAAACUCUAAAUUAAAGUAAAAAGGUAUGCAAAAAUUAGAGUAAUAGUACCUAAUUGUUAAAUAUAUAUUGGAAAUCGAAAAUGAGGCUCAUGACUUUAUGAAGAUUAUAGCAUAACAAACUUCCUACGUAAUUUUUUUUAGGACAAUUGAAGUUAAAGAAAAAAGAGCAAAUGAGCAAAGAAAAAUUCAAAAGUGGAUAUUAUAAAUUGAAAAAAAUAAUUAUUUUGAUAUAUAGGAAAAAGUAGCUGAUGGAAAUAUUAAAUACAUAUUACGUUAAUUGAUUAGAAUAGGAUAAAUAAGUGAGAAAAAAUAGCGGUUGAAGAUCAUUAAUUAGAUAUUAUCAUUUUUUGAUUGGAAAUAGGAGAAAUAAUUGAGAAUUCAUACCACUGUAAGAAUUAGGAAGUGAUAAAAAUGGAGAUUUAUUAGGCACAUAAUUUGAAAAAUGAGAGAAUAUGUCAUUUUAUUAAUUAUUUUUUACUUUUACGUAUUUUUAAUAGGGAAUGAAAUAAUUAGUUGAGAAUUAAUAGAAAUAUAAAAGUAAGAAAAAAUAAAUAUUUAUUAGGUAUGAGAGAAUAGAUAAAUAUUUUAUUAAUUACCUUAAUUUUUAUAUAUUUUUAUAUAAUUAAUUAUAUUAUAUUAUAAAAAUAUGAAAUUUUUUAAAUUUGGGACCUAAAGUGGGUGACUUUACACAAGGGUCGGCCCUUGGUGUGCUGUUAUCACGUCUGUACAUCUUUUUAUUAUUUCUUUUACUAAUUACCAAAAGAAAGUAAAUCAGUAAUUAUUGUGUAUUAGUGAAGUUUAUUAAUUAAUUAAAUAAUUGAGAGAUUCGUACUUUGUACAGCAUUUGCCUUUCUUUUAUCUUUUUCUUUUCGACUAACAUUGCUUUGCUGGUUCAAUACUAGUGAAGGGAUAAGUUUUCUCUUUCUUUUACUUUUUUUGCGAAAAGAAAUAGAUAAUGUCUCUUGCGUGGCUGGCUGGCAUGGCAUCAACUAUAAAGUGAUUAAUUUUCAAGUCAUUUCACCUAAAAUUCCCUAUAGAAUACUAUAAAAUUGACCACUAUGCUCUUGAGUCGAAUUAAGACAUUUCAUAAGUAUAUCUUUUUGCAUAUAAGGGAUCCCUUUGCCUCCUCACUCAUUCUUCGUCUGUUUAAUCACCACUUUUCUUGUAAGAGCUUGUCCAGGAUAGUUUCUUAAGCACAGGAAAGAAAAAUGAGAGUUGAUAGAGAGGGAGGAUUAUUUUCUCUAGCAUUAUUUGUAAUGCUAAUGCUCUUCGAGGCAAAUAGUUGCAGAGCAGCAGAAAUGUUAAUGGAGAAGAGCAACACCACUUUCCGUUGCAGUGGCCGCCUUAACGACUGCCUCAUUGCUGAAGAUAUGGAGCUGGAGCUGUUGAUGGAUUCCCACAUUAGCCGAAUGCUCAUCGGUGCGAAUGGAAAAGCUACGAUUGACUUCACCAACGUCGCUCAUAAAACCGUACCAUGUGGCCAUGGUAAACAAUAUGGUCCAUGCAUUAACCCAAACCAAAAGAAAGUUCCGAACAAUUGCGGUACAUAUACCCGCGAUUGCAAGAAGAAAUAAUGCUGCAAAGAAACUUAAAUCAUCCCUAUACGCUGCUUGUAUGAGUGACAUUCAUACUGUUCUUCCCUGUCUUUCUGUAAUAAAUUUGCUUUUCUUUCAUGAGUAUGUGUACUACUUAUUGUCUUAAUUAUCCACUUAUUUGUUAGUCAGUGUUUUCAAAGUUAAUUGAUGCUAUUUUUCCUUCUAUCUGCAAUGGAUAUCCAAAGUCAGUACAGUUAUAAUUACUGGAAUAUUAUCCUGUAACUUAAGAAGAGGGAGAGAGGUUUAACCCUGUAAAUAUAUCAUCUGCUCGCCAACUAUUAAACUUCAUUCUAAUCAAAAGGUCGACAAUUGUAUGGCGUCUAAUUAAUUAAAGAGUGGGUAAUCGUCAAAGGAUAUUCCAAAGAUUAGAAUUUAAAGAGGGAAUGUCUCCUAUUUUAUAUCUUGGAAACAGGAUAUCUCCUAUUAUAUAAUAAAGUUCCAGCAAAAUUCCAUACUUAACUGAGAGGAUAAAGCUCCGUGGUAAUUUAGUUUUUCCAUUUUCUUGGCAAUGCCAGUUUCCAAGUGUUUUCUCCCUUUCUUCGUUUUCUUGUUUGUAAUCAAUCAAGUCUUCUCACGAGAUUAUUGUGUGCUUUACUACUGUUAUUGUCGGUUCAAGACGUACUUUUCCCAUUGCACUAAACAAUCAAAAUUUCAUUCCUGUUCAGCAUUCAUGCGACUAUUUAAUAAAGGUAAUGCUUUACUAGUGUUUAAUCGACAUUCCAAAUCAUAGAUAUACUGUUGCCCCUUUCUUCUUUGGCAAUGAACCCCAUUUGGGUGGAAAGUGCUAAUAAUUCGAUUUUAUUAUCUUUAAGCAAGGACCACGAGCAGGAGAAAACAAUUGUUGGAGGCUGCAGAGAAAUUCUGAGGGAUGCCCAUUUCCAUAUUUUUUUAGUUUGAUUUAGACUAUCAUGUUUCACAUUUCAUGCUUUGCUUUCCAGCUUGAAGUUUAUAUAAAAAAAUAUAAAAUAAUGUAUUCUGGUUUGUGUUUGAAUAUUUACCUUAAUUGGAGAGCUAACUAAAUCCAUCAAACCUCUUGUCAAAACAAAAAGAACAAAAUACCCUCACCUUUUAAUUUUUAAUCAUAAUUUCACACGAAUCUAUUAAUUUUCGAAAUAGAUAAUUCAUUUCAAAAAAAUAUGUUUCGUUGGAUACAUAAAUCCAGUCGUUAGUCAAUCAUUAACGUUUUCAUUAAUUUGAUGACAUGGUAAUAUUGAAGGGAUAAUUUUACCUUUUACUAAUUUAAAAAAUUACCACAUUGUAUAAACUAUAAUUUUUAUUUUUUUCUUGUCAAAAAAAAAUCUCUCCCCUAUCUCUUUUGGCAAUCGGAGUGUCAGAUUUGGCUCUAGUCUGGGAGGCACAACUCCCAUAGGAAGCGAGGGUGGGGGGCAUGGCUACUUUGGGAGUGCAGGGGUGAAGGGGCCGUAACUCCCUUGGGGAGCAUGGGGUGGGCAACUGGCUUGAUAAAAAAAAAAGAAAAUAGUGAAAAGAAGAUAGAAAGAAUAAGGGUAUUUUUAGCAUUUCACACUUGUUCAUUAACAUCGUUUACACGUUUAGGAUGUAUUGUCUAUUUCUAAAAUAAUGAACUCGCGUGAAUUAUUAUUAAAAGUUAAAAAAGUGAAGGUACUCUUACCAAAAAUAAAUGAAAAAUUUAACUCCAAAUUGCUUAUUUAGACUUGCUUACAGUCAAGUAGGUGAUUUAAAACAAGGGAGAAUAAAUGUCAGUAAAGUCAGUCUACCCUGAGGAUUUCUUUUCGAGUACUUUUCAUAAAUGGAUCUCAGGCAUAAGGCGUUUUUUAGAAUGGUCUUCUGCAUAAUUUUAUCUGUUUUUAGCCAAGAGAAAAAAAAUUGGACAAAAUUGUCCUUAAUGAAACCGAUCUAUUCGUUAGGCUCCGCGCCUAAACCCGAAACCUAUUAAUGGGUCAAUUAUAUCCUUUAUAUGGACCACAACUCUUUGGUUUUCAUCGAGAGACCGUACAUAUCCGCAGAAGCAAGUCUAUCAAAAGCAUUCCUUAACAAUUCAACUUUCGAGCAUUUUGGCAGUAGUAGGAGUCUUUUGGAGUAGUUAUUAUUCUUAUAAAGGUAGUUCACAUAUUGAGCAGUGUGAAGAAGUUGACAUUAUGCUAAGAAAGGUAUAAUAUUUUUUUAUGAAUUUUUUAUUUUAUUUUGAACCAUGUGGAGGUUUUUAACAGAAUGGUUAUUGUUCAUGUUUAGGAUUAAGGUUUUUGAGCAUAAGCCUAUACAUAUUGCUUGUUCAUAUUGAUAUUGUUGUUGUUUGAAACUUUUGAAUAUAAACAUGAAGGUGGUAUUGUUGGUGUUGUUGGGUUUGAAAGGUGACCGGCCAUGCAUGACUGGUUGAUAUGUAUGUGUUAUGACCCUUUGUUAGAUAUUGCGUGAGUAAGGGAGUGCUUAGGUGGUUGACACCUUUUGCGUGAGUGGAUUUUGGCAUGGGGUCACGUAGGGUUUGCGUGAUUGCAAAAGGGUGUAACUUUGCGUAAUUGAUUGAUAGGUCAUUGCGUGACUAGUUUCUAGGUCAUUACGUGACUGGAUUCUAGGUCAUUGCGUGACUGGUUUCUAAGUUAUUGUGUGAAUAUUGUUCAGGCAUGGCGUCAGUUAGUGUGUGCGUGAUUCGAUUAGUUGUUCUUAGAAUUACGUGACUUGUGUAUAAAUCAUUGCGUGAUUUAUUGUUAGUAAUUGCAUGACUAAUUGAUUAGGCAUUGCGUGACUAUUGUUGUAGGAAAUUGCACGAGUGUCAUAACUGCAUGAAAUUUAUCUGCAUGGGUUCAUUCUGUAUUUUUUUAGAUCAACUGUAAUGUUUUAAUGUGUAUAUGUUGAUUUACUUAAUAAUCCAUGCUCCACACUUUGAUUAAUUAUUCUAUUCAGGGUUGUCUAAAAACAGUUAAAAAUAUUGUUAAGGUUAUUUUUUGAGUGAGCUUAUGAGGUGGGCUAUUUCUAAGAAAUUCUUGUAGUUUUUUUGUUAAUCUACAAUGAUGGCAUUGACAUGACUAAUAUGGGAAUGUUAUCUGUUUUAUGUUACAGAUGGCCAGCAUAGGAACAGAGCAGGAAAACAUGGAGUCCUUGUUUUGUGUGCCGAGGCAUUGGUGGGGGUUUAAUGCAGGCAUUAACAUCCAUUGUAAGUGGUCGCAUCUGCACGUGAUAUGUGAGAUGUUGUGUCAAGUGAACGAGCUAGAAAGCUUUAAGAGAACAUGCUUUGGGCACAUGAUGGACGUUGAAGCAGACAAGAGUUUAUUCUACGCCAGUCUCAUGCACAAUCUAAUGCUGCACAGAAUCAACGAACCUGACGCCACGGAGGUAGAGUUAUGGUUCGCAAUAGGGAAAACGAAGGCUCGCAUUUCAUAGAGGGAGUUCUAUCUGGUGACAGGACUGAAGUUUGUCCCUUACCGGCAUUCAUUGUCAAUCCCUAUGAGGCCCUCCUUGGAGGAAUUUACCUACGAUAUUGGGGACUUGGGAAAGAGGUGAAGAUCCAAUAAGUUUUAGACACGUUCAAGGGAGGCCAAUUUCAGCAGGAAGGAGACGCAAGCAAGAUGGCCCUCGUCUUGAUCGCAACCGACGCUUUAUUCGAUCAAGACUACAGACGAUCUGUGGUUCCAUGGUUAUUGUCGUUGGUCGAGAACAUCGACGAGUGGAAUGCAUUCCUAUAGGGCACAUACGUGUGGAGUUUGACCGUGGAUUACUUGCUGAGGGGUUUCAAACCUCCUACUGCAAGCGAAGCAGAUAAGAAGUGCUACCACCUCUACAUAUUCAUAUGGGCGUUUCAAGUAGUUUGCCAUAGCCUAAUGUUUAUCAUUAUCAUUAUGUUUUCGUAUAAGAAUUUAUGAGGUGACUAAAAAUGUUACACAAUUGAUGUGCAAUUUUCGACGUUGGAAGAAAUACCUAUAAUCAGAAGCUUGUUCGGAAGGCAGCAGCAGUUCAGACAGGUUUGGCCAAGAAUGCUUAAAUGGCAUUGUGACGAGAAGCCUACAAGCUUCCACGCCAAUAUUGCAAGUGUGGAGAAAAAAGGCAAGGUGAGUAAAGAAACCAUAUUUUUUUUAUUUGAUUAAAUUUUAUUUUUAUUAUCAUAGGGUAGUGAGGGUUAUACUUAAUGGCAAUGUAUGUUUUGGUGCAGUUGUGGGUAGUAAGAACGUUGGAGCCAACCGCAGAAGAGAUGUUGACCGCAUACUAGGUGGACAUUAAAGUCAAUAUCUUUUAGGGGUAUUAAUACAUUCCAUUAUGGAAGUUGGAGGGUAGCCCAGAAUUUGGUCCCCAGCAAAGGAGGAAAAUAAUGAACCGCAAAGGGAAAAGUCCAGUAAGAAGAGCCGUUAAGCGGAGACGCACCGCGGACGAGGAGGUCCAUUUUGAUUUUGGUGCUAUUGAGGCACCUCAUUCUCCUCUUACAGAUGUUCAUGGUGUUUCUCCUGCUGCUCAUCAUGUUGCUACUCCUGCUGUUCCUCCUCUUACUUCGCUGUUGCCCUUUUUCCUGCUUUAGGUGUUGCCCCUCAUUCUGAGCCACGCAAUCGAACGUUGUGUCCGCAAAUGACUACGAGCAUUAAGCGAGAGCUGCAAAAAAUGCGAACACAGUGGAAGAAAUACCUCUAGUCAUUGCAGAUGCAGAUGCAGUCAAUGCAGUUGGAGAUCCAGCAGGUGAUGCAGUUGGAGAUCUAGUAGGCAAUGUAGAUACAAAUGCAGUCAAUGCAGUUGGAGAUCCAGCAGUCAAUGCAGUUGGAGAUUCAAUGGGCAAUGCAGAUGUAGAUGUAGUCACUACAUGAGCAUAUCCAGCACUCAUUGCAAGGGUUGGAGUAUCGAAUUGUUGGUCGACUGAUCGAUCAUUUUAAGGUAUGAGGUUUUAUGUUAUUAAUCGUGUGAGUUAUAACAUGUACGAUGUAUACACUCUUCUAAUGUGUUUGAGUUUUUUGAUCGUUUAGGGUUGAAUCUCACCUCUCGGUAGCCCGAUUAAACAUCAUCCUAUGCCUAUCCCAUCUCCGGUAGAGGUAGCCCAGCAUUCUCAGCCCACACCUUCUCUCGAGGCUCCACCUCCUUCGUUUGAGGCCGAAGAGGGACCUUAUCCUGUGAGUAGUGGAAUACAACUUUCGCCCGUCUUGCUCUUGUCCCAACUCUAGUAGAGGCCCCCCGUAUGGUGAGAUCACACUUUCUGCUAAGGCUCCACCUCCAUUUGAGCCCGAAAAUGCACGUGUGAUCUUGGCAAGCAAAUACCUUCGAAGUCUAUACGUUAACCCGCUAUUAGUCCAGACAAAAAGAAGGACGAUUUGAAGGACAGAUAUGAGUCCUUCCUAAAAAACGACCAAGCCAGGUAAAAUGAAAACAGUAGACCAUAUUAAGGUUAACAGUUUUAGGGUAUGUAUUACAUACAUAGACCUUUUGACAUUGGUAUUAUUAUGUGAAAAUUGUGAGAAAUGACCUUCGUAGUUUGGCAACUUAAUUAUAAUUUGAAUUUAACUCUAUUUUAAAUAUGCAGGGUUGACAUUCUGGGCAUCGAAAGGCAGGAGGGCCCUGAUUUUUUUCGACGAUUAGAGAUGCCGACAAAGUUAAUGGACACCCAACAGAUUGAUGCAUGCAUCAGUGUGUUGUGUAAGCGGGCAUGUAAGCACGAUCCUUAACACUACAAGCAAAGAAUAUGCAUCGUUGAUACCACAUUCUAUGUAAGUAUAUUAUAUUUUACUGAGUUGUAAUUAUUCAAAUGUAUGGGGUUUAGGGUUACUUAAUUGAAUCUAACUAUUGUGCAUAACGUAAUUGACAGCUUAUUUUGCUCCAUCUGAGCCAAGAAAUGCAACCUUUCCCCAUCGAGAAGACAUUCAAGCCGAGUGAGGCGAUUUUGCCAGACGAUGUGCUUGCCUAUGCAAGGGGUAGGAGACCUCCGUGGGUUUACCAUGGCAUAAGGUUGACUCAAUUCUUGUAUCAUGCUUUUUCGAUGGCCACUAGGUGGUAGUGCACGUUAACUUGGUGAAAUGGACAAUGAUGUUAAUGGACUUAUCGUACAGUCGAAAAGAAGCACUGAAGUCCAGCUUACGUGAUACGCAGAUGAGUCCACUAACAUCAUUGUUUCCCAUUAUAUGCCACCAAGCGGGGUACUUUGACAGCUCGCACUGUCUAAAGCGAAUUUUGACGCAGAUGAAAUAUAGGUUAAAUGAAAAGACCCCGAUACAUCAAGAUUUGCACAGUUGCGGGGAUUGGGUUAUAGCCUCGUUACAGUGAUUGAUCAGCUCGGAGGAUCAAACGUUGAAGCCAAACGCCAUAGAAGGCAUUCGAACAAAGUUUGCCGUUGAGAUUUUUGCCAAUAGCUUAAGUUGUUAAAUUUUUUAAUUUGUUUAUUCUUUUUCAAUCUAUAAAUAACAUUAACAUUAUUCUGUAUCAUUUUCAUAUUAUUCUUUGUUAUAUCAUUUAGAUAUUAUUCUUUGUAUUCAUUCAUGUGAUAAGCAUACAGGUCCAAUAAGAACGACAUUGGUUUUUUCUUAUUCAUAUCGCAAAGUCUGUUAGUAUUUUACACAAUUUACAUGACAGCGUUUAUUCGUUUGCAUAUGCCAACCCUCUUUUACUUCUUUACUUUAUAGCCUAUAUGACAUGUUGAAUUGCAUUGUGUGACAUAGGGUUGUAAGCAGUUGCUAUUGAAUUGCGUGAAUGGUGGGAAUAGAAUCGCUUCACCAGUUGAUAUUGAUUCGAAGGAGUAUUUGUUAUGGAGUCACGUGAGUACUAAAUGUUGAAUGACGUUAGUAGUUAAUAUGGAAUCACGUCACCAGUUGAUAUUGAUUCACGAGAGUAUUUGUUAUGGAGUCACGCAAGUAGUAAAUUUUGAAUCACGUCGGUAGUUAAUAUGGAAUCGCGUCACUAAUCCACAUGGAAUCGUGUGAGUAGUAAAUAUAGAUCGCGUGAACCGUUAAGAUUUAGAAUCGCGUGAGCAUUUGAUAUUGACUCCCAUUAGUAGUAAAUAUGGAGUGGCGUUACUAGUUAAUAUGGAAGCGCAUGACAUGACUUUUUGUGGAAUCACGUCACUCAUUGGUAUUGACUCGCGCGAGUAAUAUAUGUGGAGUGGCGUUACUAGUUAUUAUGGAAUGGAGUGAGUUUUUAUUCUAAAAUCGCGUGAGUAGAAAAUGGAGUCGUGUGACUGGAUAUCAUGGAAUUGCGUUACUAGUUGAUGUGGAGUCGCAUGAGUAGUAUAUAUGGAGUGGUGUUACAAAUUCUUAUUGAAUCGUGUGACUAGAUGAUAUGAGAUCGUGUGACUAGUUAAGCUUGCAUCGCGUGACUCACCUAUUGUGUGUCAUGUUCUUCAAAUAAGGGUAAGCCAAUUAUCAUGGACAAUAUCAAACUAGAACUUAACCCCAAGCACCAUCAUAACAAAAUAUCGAGUUGAACACCCUAAACCCUCAACUAGAUGAAAGUUAAAGCACUUGUUGAGGGAAUUUAAAGAAAACAAAAUACCACAAGUCAAUUAUGAGAAAUACAGACUACAAUAUCCAUAAUCCAGUUAUACAAACAACUCUCAAAUAUGAAUGUUCAUCUGGUAUGGUUGACUCAGCCAAAACCAAUGACAACUGACUUCCUUUUUCUCUGAGGUUAAUGUCGGAGAAACGCAUUUGAGGACAAUCAAUUCUGUCGCACUCUUGCUACCUGAACAGUUGCAUCUGUUUUUUGCAUUAGAAGAUUCUCAACAUUUUGUAUCCUCAAUUCCAAUUCCUGCAUUAUAGCAGUUUGAUUACUGAGUUUCUCAUCAAUCCUUAGAAGCAUAUUAUACAUCAUAUCAUUGGAAACAGGAACUCUAGACAGUUGUUUGAAUGGAGUAUCAUGGGUAGAAUGAACUAGGCUGCCUUCGACAGAGUUCAAUGGCUCAUCAAGACUCAAGUCAUAUCCCCUUUUCACGAGCCAUCGAAAGAAGAGAGUACGAGGCCUGCGACUGGUCCAAUCAGCUAGAUACCUAUUGCUCCAUAUCCCUUUCUUCUUAACUAGAGCCGAUAUGAUGUUCCUGUAUAGAAGGGUCGUUUCUUCCCGCAUGGCAACUUGUCUCAUUCUCAUGAUCAUAUAUUCUACAAUAUUAACGACAAACUAGCUUCAAAUCGUUUCCAUCAUCCACAGAUCCUUAGUGUUAACAUGUCUUAAAUGACUGAUCCUUCCCUGUAAUGUGGAUGCCAGAAAAUUAUGUACCAGCCUAUCUGAUACAGAAUUCAAAUGACGAGCAGAACAUGACUCUCUGGUGUAUGGUUCUCUUCUGCCUGUCACCUGGGCUCACAUACGGAACGGGUCAUAUGAUGGGGGAGGUUUGUAUUGUCUGUAUGUAUACUUUAUUCUCAGGAGCUUCCCAAUAUCAAAAGGAGUCACUGUAAACUUUAUUCCUCCCAAAAACACGUUCAAAACAAAUGGGUCAAAAUCUCUAGGAUUUUCAAAUUCGUUUUCACUUUGGCGAAUGCUGAAGUAAAAUUCCCUAACAAGAGUCGAGCUAUAAUCAAAAUAUGAAAAGGUACUUAGACCCUUAAGUUUACCCAUGUCGAAAAACGAAAAUAAGUCACCCUAAAGGUAUAUGUUUUCCUUUAAGCUUUCCCAAUCUACCACUUUCCCGCACGAUAUCAUGGCAUUCUCUAUUACCCAAUACCUACCACCAUGUGAUAUGUCCCUAAAUUGUAAGGGAGAGCACAGAUCAUUACUUGGUUUAAUUGAUAAACUAAUUGAUGCAGUAGGCAAUUGAAGAUCUAGUUUCCAUUUCUUCCUUGAUCAUAGGGUAGAGUAUUCAUCAUCACCCAUACUUUGGUUGCCAUCGCCACGGACAUUGGGUAUGCUCAAAGAUGCGGCCAUUGCUUAAGACAAUGCAAGACGGUUCAACUUUUGUGGUUCAACUUCUCUUCACCCUUAAACUAAGUUUAGAACGGUUGGAAGAUGAAACCGCAGCUAUCGAUAGAUAUUGGGAAGACUGGAAUAUGAAAAAAACGGUUGGAAGCUAUCUCAUACCCUUAUGUUUUUUUAUUACAACGGUCGACAUUAGAACAACUAUUACGAUUAUUAUACAUCAUUUUGUUGGCAAAAAUAUGAUGCAAGAUGUCAAAAUCAAUCACACAAAUAUUAUUAAAUAUUUUGUACUUUAUCUAAUGGUUUACAAAGAAAAACAAAUUAUUAAGGAGUACAAUGAAUUUGAUGAUCCAACAAAUGGGCUAAAUACCAUAAUUGGAAUUUGAUGAUCCAAUUAUGCAAUGGCAUCUUUGUAAAUAAGGGGAACUGUAGUCAACUAUAAGAUAAAUAUCUAAUUUUUUCCAGCACUUUUUCCUUACUUCCAGCAACUUCUUCUUCUUCUUCCCAUCCUUCUUCCUCAAUAAAUAUUUUCCAUAUUGCAUGGAAGCCAUCCCUUGAAACUUCCAUAACUUUCUUAAAGUAACUUCAAUUUUCAUGCUUUUUCACCUCAAAGAUCCUUAAAAGUCUUUCCUCAUCGAUAUAUUUAUAAUUGAAAAUUAUGGGAAAUAACUUUCAUAGUAAGGUGACUUCAAAACACCUUAUAAUAUACCUUCUUGCUCAAAAGUAAACAUGUCUAAUCUUUGUGUUGGAGCAGUGUUCAUUUUAGCCAUACUGGAAUCAUCAUUCAUGAGUCCAGCUGACUUCAGAGGACGAUUCUUCUUACUAGCAUCUGAAGCCCAACGACGUGAGCCCCUACACUGUCACGUGACUGAUGCUGUUUUUCACUUUGAGUGCUACCCAAACCAUUUGGUGUAUCCCAGCCAUUUGAACUUGCUAGUUGAUUUGACUCAUCAAGAGAGCCUCAACCUUCAUAACAUUAUAGUGACUUUUGUUUUUCUUAGCCACUAGAUUUGGAAAAAUCGUCCAAGGUUUUCGAAGGAAUGACAUCUUUUGUUCCCCAACAAGACCGUGGCAGUGCAUCACUAGCAUAAGGUUUUUCACAUUCUUCCUCCAUUGUUCCCUAACUAGUUCCACUGUCCCCACCAUUGGACUUGAAGGUUUUGUCAUCCAUAUAGACAUCUUGUGUAUCUAACUUUUCAUUCCCCAACCAGAAAGUUCAAUUUGCUCUUUCAUACAAGUUCCAUCCACUUUGAGAGAGACAUAUUGUGUUAUGGAUUUGCUUGUCCCCUAGUCACUGCACUCAGUUUGCUUCGUUGUACUGGUCACAGCUACUACAACAUCUUUUGUUUUAGAUGUGCUUGUCCUCUAAUCGCAGUAGUCAUUUUGCUUCGUUGUUCUAGUCACAGCUGCUACAACAUCAUGUGUUGCAAAUAUCAACUGCAGACUCUAUCAAACUCUGUCAAACUCAAGUUGAAAUAAUAUCAUUGAAUGCAAAUAUCAAUGGCCAGUUCGAAACAAUCCUUAACAAUUGACGUUUGAAGGGCCACUAUCUUCAGGUAGGACACCUAUAACGUUAUCAGAGUUUAUAGUCCACAUUGGAUAACGGUUUCGUGUGUGCCCAAGUUGUCUGCAAAUUGCACAUGCCUUAGGUCAUCGUCUUCGAGCCGUGGGUUGAGCAGAUGAUGUUUCCCCGUUUGUUGGUGGAGCUGCAAAUAGAGUCUGGUAAUUUUGUCUAUUAUGACCAUAGCUCUUGCAUUGUGAACAUCUACAUCGUCCGCUGCCUUCCCCAGCUGAUGGAAUCCUUUUCCUCCUAGGUCUUCUAGCUUGACCUCGCCAACUUCAUAGCAAAACGAUAAUUUGUUGAACGUCAUCAAGGAUGUCCCACUCAUUGGGAUGCCCAAUCGGGCGAAUGGGAACCGCAUAUCCCUCCGCCCAAGAUCGAGUCUUGUAAUAGUUCGAGCAGAAUUCAAUGGCUACACAUUUGCACUUACUACCAAGGCAAUGAAAUCACAGUUGGUGAACAAUGGAAAAAUUCAAUUCAUCAUGCACAAUAUAACAAAACAUGAUUGCUCAUACCUUAUUGCCCUCAUGGCAUGCAUGCAGGGGAGCAGAUCGGAAUGGAACUCACCGCAUGAACAUUCCUUGGUGGAGAGGUUCACCACUUUGUCCUUACUCCCGCCUAUAACUUGAAACUCCACUCGAUCGAUUGCUUGUAUGGAAAAGUGACAUGCUUCAUUAAACCAUCUGUUCAACAGAUCGGUAGCCCAAGGGUUGAGGGGUGUGGUCAAAUUCAAUGCCUCAUUGUGCCGGUCAUGGAACCCACGUUGAAACAUGCCUCUGAUGCACUCGAUCAACACCGUUAUUGGCAUUUUUCUUACAUGCCUCAAGCAAGAGUUAAUACACUCCGCAGUGUUGGAUGUCAUUAGCUUGUAUCGCCUUACUGGUGACCGUGCACAUGCCCAUCUCUUAGGGCCUAAUCUCAUAAGGCUGUCAUAAGCAGGUUUAGAAAGCUGUUUCAGCUUAUUCAUAUGUCUAUCAAAAUGGACGACCUUAUAGCAGUUGGCGGCCAUGGUGAAAAUCACUGCAACAUCUUCGCGCUUGAACUUGUUUUUAACAUUUUUCCCUAAGUGGUAAUUGCAUAGACCGUGAUGAGCGUCUUUGUACACUUUCUCAAUUGCAUUCUUAAUGCUAAGAUGCUGAUUAGAAAUGAACAUUGCAUUUCAAGACAACCAAUUGCACGACGCAAUUGGUUAAGAAACCACGACCAAGACUAUUUGGCUUCGACGUGGCCAAUGCUAAAUGCAAGUGGAUAUAUUUGCUCAUUCACACCUUUGCAUACUGCCACAAACAGAAUACCCUUGAAUUUGUCUUUCAGAUGUGUGGCAUCGAUAGCGACUACAGGUCGUAUUACAGCACUGAACCCCCGAAUACAUGACCCGAACGCCUAGAAACAAUAUUUGAAUCAUUGUUCCCCAUCAGUAGCGACACACGUGACAGUACCGGGAUUUUCACAUUCCAACAUAUGGAAAUAUGAGGGGAGGAGUUGGAAUAACUCUUCCGACGAACCGAACACAAGACUCUUCGCAUACUCUUUUGCUUGCCAAGCCUUACCAUAUAGGCAUUGCAAUCCCCACUUGCGAUUUAUCUCUUCCAUUAUUUCUUUUGGUCUCAAUGGGGUUACAUAAUUUCCUUACACCCUAUCGAAGAUAAGUUCACCAAUUACCUUCGCGCUCGCAGUUCGGUACCCACAUUGUAAACCAUCGACAAUAUAUGUGUGUACCUUCUGCAACAUCCGAAGUUACCAAUAUUCUCCCUUAGGCAACUUCGUUGCACGCAAAGCAAACUUGCAUGCCUUAUCCUUACAACCAACCUCAAAACAAGCGUGACAUGACUUUUUAACUCUAAACUCAAAAUGCUCUUUUAGUGCCAACAUGCUCUUUUAGUGCCAACAUGCUCAAAGCUUGUUUCAAUUCAGCCUUCGAUGGAAACACUUUUUCGCGAUGUAAGUGGUUGUCCAUUGAUCUGGAUUCCUCACUCCCAACUAUUUGGAAUGAUAUCAUAUCUAACUCGGGAAUAAUCCAUUGACGAGAUACCACUAUAUUUACCCUCUCUUUAUCACUGUCAUCAGGCGAACGAAUGUCGUUCUCAAGUGCGAUGGCGUUCUCAUAAAUAGGGUCUGCACCCUUAACAUCUUCUAAUUCAACAGUUCUGCCAUGGUCGUCCAACUCAAGCUCUUCUAACACAAUAGUUAUGGUAUGACUUGUACCGCCAUCUGUAUUAUUGCAAUCAGGAAUGUCAGUCUGCUCAACCCUAUCGUCCUCUGAACGGUCUUCAUGUUCAUCAAUGUAAUCAUCUUCACAGUCAUCACGCAAUUCAUCGUUCCGAUCCUCCAUGUUGUCCUCUUCAACAUUAUCUUCAAUCUGAUCAGAUGCAUUGCCAUCACUCACAACCAUCAUAGUGGCGUUUGCUAAUGACAAUGGACCCAAUGCAUUUUCGAGCGACAGUUGUGUUUGUUGCAAAGUACCAAGUAUUUCGUUCGAUGAACAUUCCUAUUGGAAUUGUGCAGACAUCAUUUGCAAACACCUCAUGUGUGCGUCGGGCUGCUAAAACUCAUGAGGAUUCAUUAAACUUGAUUGCCAUGAUUGUUUGUUAGGAAAUGCAUGGUGUGGUAUGUCAGAAUAAUUAACAUUCUGUUCUUAGUGAUUACUAUAUUGGAUACCAUGCUCAUGUGGAAUAUCGUUUGCAUUUCCUACCUUAACUGUCACAAACACAACAACUACCCUCUCAUCUCACAAAAUACUUGCUACAUCUUCAUCAUCCCUGAUAACUGCGUGCAAAACCCCUGCAACAUGGCUAAGCGAUGCAUGUAGCUCAAUUUCAUUAUUAUGUGACUUGACCCCAACACCCUCUUCAACCAGCUUCACUAGUCCCGAAAAUGACAAAUCACUUCCAACACCCCUCAUUCGUGUCUCACCACCUUUGUAAAUGUCAUCGACCCAAUGACCACCGUAUGUAAUCAUAAGCUUCACAUUUGGUAAGCCGCUGAAAUUUAACAGAAAAUAAGUGUCACGAUCAGUCAAUUUAUUAAAAAUAGCCCCUCAAUGCAUAGAAACCACUUACGUAAUGCCUAAGUCACAUUUGGCCGGCCGUAGAAAUUUAACAGAAAUUAAGUGUCGCAAUGUCUAAUACACAUUAAUGCAAUGCCUAACAACUAGUGAACAAAUGCCCCUAAACAAGAGGCGAAUUACACAAGUCACGCGCCACUGCUCUCGCAAUAUAUAACAACAGGUCACGUAAUAUAUAAAAACCAAUCACGCAAGCCUAAAAAACUACUAAACAAAAGCCUCAAAACAACAUAUGAAUUGCACAAGUCACAUGCACCACUUUCGCAAAACAUAACAACAUGUCACGCAAUAUAUAAAAACCAGUUACACAAGCCUAAAAAACUACUGAACAAAAGCCUCAAAAAAACAUAUGAAUUGCACAAGUCACACGCCACCACUUUCGCUACAACAAGUAACGUAAUAUAUAAAAACCAGUCACGCAUUGCCUAAAAAACUACUAAACAAAAGCCUCAAAACAACAAAUGAAUUGCACAAGUCAGUCACGCACCGCUAGGCUCGCAACACCUAAGAAUAAGUCACUCAAUGAAUAAUAAGCCUCAAAACAAGAGGUGAAUUGCACAAGUCACGCACCACUAGUCUCGCAAUACCUAAUAAUAAGUCAAUCGAUUCUUAAUAUCCACUAUUGUUAUGCCAACUUAAACAGUCAUGUACUGGCCCAACAUCAUGCAAUACAUAACAAUACGUCACCAUAGGUACUCUAUUCCAUAUACAUACAAACCACUCACGCAAUGACUCAACAGAAGAUAUGCAUUAUACAAUUCAUGCACCGCGUAUAACCCACUCUCCCAAUACCUAAUAAUAGGUCACCCAAUGCCUAACAUCCACUCACAAAGUUGUUCAGCAUAAUAUAACUUAAACGAAGCAAAUAACUCAAGAAAAUAUGUGCUAAAUGAAAAUAAAAAUUGUUAUAAAUUUUAUUAAAAAGACCCCCCAAAAAUACAAGGAGAUGAUACAAAAAAAAUAAACCUUAGUUCAUUUCUUCAUAAGUUCAUCUACUUUGUACUCUAUCUCAGCAAGAAUCUUUUCGUUGCUUGGGAUGGCAGCCUCCAAGUCAAAAGUCCUUUGCAUCGAGUUGUCGAUGAUGACUUGCAUCUCCUGCUGGAAUAUGUGCAACUGGUCCCUCACACUCAAAGGCACCUCUUUCUCUUCGGAGGCUGCCUCUUUCCCCUUCUCGACUCUUGGAUCUCUAGAUGUCAUUUUUCAAUUAUCUGAGAUUACUUAAGAUAAUUGAAUUUGAUUCAAAUGGUUAAUGGUUCCCUUUAUUUAUAGGCAUGAAAGCUGACUCUUCAUUUUCUACACCCAUAUCAGUGUAAUGAAUGAGGGCUGAAUUGGUUAUUAAGUACCUAUUCGGCCUGCCCUUUCAUCUUAUCUAUCUCUUAAAAGCAAAAGCUAGGCCAAACAUCAUUUUCAAAGAAAUUCUUAAUAAAAAAUAGCUUAAAGGUUUUGUCUCUUUUUCACUAAUCAAAAAGGAUUUUAAUGUUACCUCUUUUCUCUUUUCCAAAAAAUUCGUUAUCGCUUCCUCUUUUCUUUUUUUUUUUAAUUUAAGCAUCAUGGUAGACUAACCAAAAUCUAAUACUAUUGCUACUAUACAAGUCUGAAAUUAUAUAUAAACUUUAAGAAUUACAUUAGAGCUUAUUAGGUUAUUAAAUAUGACACUCAAUAUCCUUUUAUGGUAAUUUUAACGAAAUUACAACUUAUAUAAUUUAAUUUGUUAAACAGUUUACCAAACAGCUUUAGCCUAUUUCUCUUCUAAUUUUACACAAUUUGUUAUUAAGAUGGCAGAAUCAGUAGAUAAUCACCUUCAGCAUUAGGUAGCUAAAGUCACACAAUGCCUACAAACAAGUCACGCAAUGCUCAACUAAUAUUCAGUCACGUAACGCCUGUCACAUAACGAUCAAUAAAUAUUAAGUCACGUAAUGCCUAUAAAGAACUCACGCAAUGCUCAACAAAUAUUCAGUCAGGUAAUAUUCAGUCACGUAAUACUUGUCACGCAACGCUCAACAUAUAUUCAGUCACGUAAUGCCUAUAAAGAACUCACGCAAUGCUCAACAAAUAUUUAGGCACCUAAUGCCAAAUAAACAGGUAACGAUUCCUAAUAUCCAAUCACACACCCUAAUAUCCAGUGACUCAAUGCCUAAUAAAUAUUCACGCAUCGCCUAUAAAAUUGAUUGAUUUCACUACCCCUGGAUAGAUUUAAGUUUCCAAACUCAUAUAAUUUACCCGUUAACUUUUUCGUUCUAUGAAUAACCUUAAAUAAAUGCAAGAACUCAUAACAAAUACCUUGAUGUCAUCUUUGUACUUUGGGAUCGUGAGAAAGUUGGCUGCUGAUGUAGACCUCGAUGGUGUUGGAGAACUGGACGGAGGGAUAGCUAAAUCUAAAUCGAGAUUUAAUUUUGAAAUUUUAAGCUGAAUGGUGAGAGAGCAGAAAGAAAGAAACUAAGACGGGCCUUCACUUGGAUUAAUUGGAUUAAAGAGUAUUCUUGUCAAGUCGUGCUAAAAAUUGGCUAAAAACAGUUAAAAUUAUAGAGACGGUCAUAUUUAAAGUCACCUUCCUAUGAAGGUCAUUUCUCACGAUUUUCUCUUUCUUUUUUAUAUUAAUAGCAAAUAGUAAGAGAUCUGAUAGAAAGAUUCUCACCAACCCAAAGUAAUAAUAAUACAAAUUAUGAGUUCUAUUUGAAGCAUAAUUUCUAGACACUACACUGUAAUUGUCAAAAAAAGAUAUACAAACGAUAAAUUUAUCUAUGUUCCUCUGAUGCACAAAUUUAUCUGAACUUCUUUAGAAAUAGCUAGGCUGGAAAAUAAAUUAGCUUGGUGAGUAUUUGCUUAAACUAGUAGCAAAUAUGCUUAUUCUAAUAAGAGAUAAAGAACCCUAUCACACAGUUUUCUUCUUUGGUUAACUCUACUUGCUCUUAUAAGGGAAAGCACAGCUUUUCAGAGUGAUUGGAUUGCAUCGUGCUGCUCUUACGUAAAAUGAACUGAAUUAUUGGAAUGAUAAAAGCAUAAAGAAACAAGGCUUGAGGCUUAAAAAGAAAUGGAGUAAAGAGGGGUGAAAUCUUUAGAAAAAGAGGUGGGGCAAGGCUGCUCGGCCCCAUCAUCAAGUUAAUUGAUCAAUGAGAACAUCUUUUGCAGAUUCACACUACUUUAUUUACCUUAAGUAUCAAUCUUCUUUUUCCACACGAUAGGUUGGGUGGUGAAACACGUCUAGGCCUUGCCAAAUAUUCUAGACAAUGUAGAUUUACGCGAACAGAAUCAUAAUCCUAGGCUUUAUUUGCAAAAGUAGGCACUUACUCCAAAAUUUAAGACUUAUGCCCCCCUGCUUCAAUAUUUCGAGGAAAGAUUAGCGUAAUAGUACUGUUAAUCCGUCUUGUCUUCCAUGAGAGACCUUUCAAUUAUUAUCGCUACCCUCUCCCUCUUCUUUUCGCUUCAGCAUGUUGCCAUUUGUGCACAAAUUUACACCCCACCUGAUAAUAUUGCUCUAGACUGUGGCUCCUCAACUUCAGGCAAUUCAGCAGUGCCAGGUGGUCGUAAAUGGACAGGGGACAAGGACUCAAAGGUGGCUCUCAUUGAAGAAUCUUCUAGCAAAUCAGUAUCUGCCACCGCCCUCUCCCAAAGCAGCUCCAUCCUUAGAGUCCCUUACUUGACUGCAAGAAUAUCUAUAUCCCAAUUCACCUACGUGUUUCCAGUUACUGCUGGACAAAAAUUUAUCAGACUUCAUUUCUAUCCUGCUCAGUACCAAGGCUUUGACAGGUCUAAAAACUUUUUCUCUGUCAAGGUAGGGUCUUAUUCACUACUCAAUAACUUCAGUGCUUCUCUUACUGCUCAGUAUUUAGGGGAAGCAUCAUUUUUUAAAGAGUUCUGUGUAAACUUGGAGCAGAAUCAAAGCCUCACUGUAACUUUUACUCCUUCUAUGAGCAUGUCUUAUGCUUUUAUCAAUGGAAUCGAGGUUGUUUCAAUGCCAACCAACCUCUACUACUCUCGUUUAGAUGAUCAAGGCCUUCCUUUCAUAGGUCAAGAAGCACAGUUCCAGAUUAAUAACUACACAGCACUUGAGAAUGUUCAUCGAUUGAACAUUGGGGGCAACUCAAUCCCCGCCGUGAACGAUACUGGCAUGUACAGAAACUGGUAUGAUGACUACUUUUAUCUGGUGCCAGCUGGCGUUGUAGCCAGUAACACGAGUAUUAAACUUGAUUAUUCUAUCAUACCACAAUACACUGCACCAGAUGAUGUGUAUAGAACAGCUAGAUCAAUGGGAAGCAACAGAACAGAGAACUUGUUGUACAAUUUAACAUGGAGGUUACCCGUUGAUUCUGGAUUCAGGUAUCUUGUUAGACUCCAUUUCUGUGAAUUUGAUCCAUAUGUAGAAACUGUGAGUGAUAGGCGAUUUAGCAUCUACAUAGAUAAUAAGACCGCAGAGGCAGCAUUUGAUGUGAUGGAAGCUUCUGGUGGUAAAGGGAGACCAAUGUAUAAAGACUAUGUGGUGAUGAUUGGGAACACUGGAGAUAAAAGUGAGUAUACCCUCUUCAUAGCUCUACAUCCUAAAAAUUUAUUUAGUGCUUAUGCAGAUGGUUUCCUGAAUGGACUUGAAGUCUUCAAACUGAACAACUCUGGUGGCAAUCUUGCUGGACCGAAUCCUGCGCCACAGGCCCCACCCGCUGGCAAUGAGGAAUCAAGUCCGAAAGCAAAGAAGUCCAACACAAAGAGGAAAUUGCUCUUUUCAAUUGGUGGAUGUGGGAUAGGCUUGUUAAUUAUACUAGUUUUAUUAUGUUGUAUCAUUGUUUGGCGACACAGAAAGAUGCACUGGUAUGGUGCCUACUGUAAAGGAUCAAGGUUUUGCUGCUGGAUGGAUCCUUACAAAAGGAAAUCAUUUUGGGCAAAAUCCUCAUCAUUGCCUGAUGAAUUGUGCCGUCACUUUUCGCUAGAUGAGAUCAAAGCUGCAACUAGUGACUUCCAUGAAGCUUUGAUUAUUGGGGUAGGUGGUUUUGGCAAUGUAUACAAAGGUUUCUUGGAUAAUGGUGAAACAAUAGCUGCCAUCAAGCGCUUGAAUCCUUUGUCUAGACAAGGUGCAAGGGAGUUCAAGACUGAGAUUGAGAUGCUCUCCCAGCUUCGGCACAUCCAUUUGGUCUCCCUGAUUGGAUAUUGCAAUGACAAUUCUGAGAUGAUCCUGGUGUACGAUUACAUGAUCAAUGGUACUCUACGUGAUCACCUAUAUGACACCAAAAAUGAUCCUCUAACAUGGAAGCAAAGACUCAAGAUAUGCCAUGGGGCAGCUAUUGGAUUGAACUACCUUCAUACAGAAGUGAAAUAUACUAUAAUUCAUCGUGAUGUGAAGACAAGCAACAUUCUCCUGGAUGAGAAAUUUAGUGCUAAAGUUUCCGAUUUUGGGUUGUCUAAGAUGGACCCCAAAAUUGACGUGGUCAAUACUGGAGUAAAGGGCACGUGGGGAUACUUAGAUCCUGAGUAUGCUCGGGGGCAUGCAUUAACUGAAAAAUCAGAUGUUUAUUCAUUUGGUGUAGUACUAUUUGAAGUAUUAUGCGCAAGGAAGGCUCUGGAUCAAAAAUUGGCAGUUGAUCAAGUGAAUCUAGCUCAUUGGGUUAAAAAAUGCAUUGCUGAUGGAACUCUUUAUCAAAUCAUUGAUCCACGACUAAGGGGAAAGAUAUCUCCAGAGUGUUUUAAGGUGUUUGUAGAAAUUGCAGAAAGUUGCAUACAAGAAGCGGGAGUCAAUAGGCCACUGAUGAAUGAUGUAAUGGAAAAGCUAGGAUUUGCGCUGGAGUUACAAGAGACUGCUGAUGCUGGAAAAGAGAAGAUCAAUCCUGCUGGUGAACAUAGCUACCAGGAUAUAUUGUUCCCCCUUGCUCGUGACAUCGAUGUUGAUACUUUAGGUUCUAAUGUUAUUGCAGCUCCUAAUCCCGUUCACGAUUCGGGCAGUUCUUUGUCUUAUGACAUAUUCUCAAGUACCAUUAGCCCAAAAGAAUUGUGAUGACUAGUUGGUGAUAUCUGGAGCUGUUGGUGUUUCUUUUUACAUCUCUGUUUCAUAUCAGUUUGUUGAGCUUUAUGUUAUGAUCUUUAGCAUUUUAGGGUUGACAUAAGAAAGGAAGUACGAGAGGCAGGUUUUAUUUUCAUUGAUGCAUACAGGAAGACAGCACUAUGUUGAGUCUGUUAUUGGGUUGAAUUUCUGGUGAAAGAAAACAACCCCAUUUUGUUUAAUGUGGGGUAUGAUAGUAUUAGGGUAUGAUAUUUAUAUUCCUAGGAGAGGAUGUUAAAUGUUUUUGAUUUGAUAAUGUGUGUACGAAGGAAGUAUCUUACUGUAAGGUGGUCAAAUUGCUUUAGGUAUGAGCAGUUCACGAUGUGUGGACUGUCUCCUCCCCUUUCCUUUUUUAAUAGUUUGGCUUUUUGCUAUUGACUGCUUAUGAAUCAGCUUUUUUGAUACGUAAUAUAUCGACUUUGAUUGAAAAAAAAAAAGAAAAACCGAAGACUAAGGAAGUCAUUCCUUUCCUUUUGGCUUUCCAGCUUUAACUUAGAAAAGAUGGCAAUAUAUUUACUAUUCUUAUUAUUAUUAGUUUUGGAAAGAGAUCGGGUCAGAAAAGAGAGAUGGAAUCAAGUUAAAGUUGAUAGACUUGUUAUGCAAAACUGCAGAAUACCAACCAAAAUUUUAUUGAAUUGUAAUCUUAAUUAGAGUUUACUCCUAUUUUAAAUAAAAUGUUUACUUUCUAAAAACACAAAAAUUUAGGAAUGAGGUAUUUUGUUAUUUAUUUUAUAAUUCUUAAAAGUUGUAAAAACUAAAAGAGAUUAAUUAAUGAAAGACAAUAUUGAAAAAAAUAUUUUAUAUCUUUUAAAAAUAAAUAUUAUUUUGAAAUAUCUUAUAAUAAUAAAAUGAGCAUUAAACUUGCAAUCUUCUCAAUCAUUGUCUUGGUUUUUAUGUCAUUUCGUGGAAUUCCUACUUCUUGGAUGCUUAUGUUAUCAUACAUCGAUUGAUGGAUUAUUUUCUCAUUCUUGGAUGAAUAAAAUAUUAAUUUGGUCCAUAUAAGGUGGCCAUAAUUUCCAUACUUCUCUCUCCCUUAGCUCUUGAUCUGUAAAUUACGUGACUUUGCCAAGUGAGAGAGGUAGGGAAAAAGAAAGAAAGAAAGAAAGAAAAGAUGGGGUUUGAUCAGAAGAAAAAAGGAGAAAUUUAUCUGGCGUUUGUGUUGAUGAUAAUACUCCUGAAAUCGAAUAGUUGUAGAGCUGCGCUUCUAGUGAAGAGUAACACCACUUAUCAGCGCAAUGGCCGCCUUGACGAAUGCCGAAUUGCACAAGAUUUGGAGCUGGAGUUGGACUUGCCGAUCAGUUCAAACGUUAUCAGAAUCCUCCAGGGUGGUAGCGGCACAGUAACUGGUGGCACGCCCAAUCGUAAUAGACCAGCUCAAAAUAAUUGCCCAACUGCAUACGGAAAUUGUAUUGCCAACGGAGGUAACGCUGACUGUAGGAACCUAUACUCUUGCGGCCGACUGCAACAAGGUUAAGUCCCUACGGUAGCGGGGAACCGUCAAUAUCAACUCUAUGUCCUGCCUGCUUUUGGAUGCUCCUUCUGUGCGUUAUGUCCCUUUCAUCUUUGUGUGCUUUUAUGCGAGUUUACUUUUCCUGCAGCAUGAUUCCUGUCGUUAUUAGAAGUGUGACGGUAAUGAUGGGUUUGAUUAUGGAUGGUAUCAUCAAAAUACGCAAUGAAAAGAAAAUUAAAAAUUUUAUAACUAAACAACCAAGACAUGCUUUCACCCAUGGAUCAUUUUAGUGAUAUUUAACAUAUAAAAGUACAAAAUAAAUUAUUGUUUAGAAGUUACCUUGUCAUGUAAUUUCGUAAUCACGAUAGCACUUUUCAAAGUAAUCCCGUAAACACCACAAGGAGCAAAAACCCUAGCCAAUCAAGUGUUUGGCCUCCAAUGGUAGUACACACGAUUGCACUUGAACCUUCAACAAAGGAAAGAGUUUUUAACUAUACUUUGUACUGGCAAAGAAGACAACAAUUGCCAUUUUCUUCUUUUUCACAAUUUUAGCCGAACUUCUCUUGAAAAUUGCUUCAUAAGCAAUUUUAUCUUUCACACAAAGGGAGUGGUGGCAAAGAAAGAAAAUGUUUUUCUUUUUUUGACAAAAACCACGUUUUCCUCAAUUGUGAAAAACUCUCAUAUGGAAAAUAGUUAAAAUGUGACUUAUAUAGUUAGGUUAAAAUAACUUCAAUUUUAUAAUUAAGCCCUCAAUAUUAUAACACAUUAUAAUAUUGGGCCCAUUACUUAGUUAAACUCUUUUAAUUAAGUCAUUGAAAAUUAAAAUCAAAAUUAAUUUCCUUUAUAUUUUGCAAUCAAGGCCUUGUAAUUAUAACUAUUUAUAAUUAUGCCAAAAACUUAAUUAAACUCUUUUAAUUAAGUUUAUAGAAGUUAAUUACCUAGCAUGUGAUUUAAGUCUAACUUAAAUCGUCACUUUUCCAAUUUAAUUCAAAUGCAAUUAUUGUGUGUGACCCAUUAAGUUCUCAACAUGUUGGCAAUGGAAUUGAUUAAUGACUUAAUUGAUUAAUAUAAAUUUCAAUCAAUUAAUUUAUAAUCAAUUCCAUAGAUAAAGAUUGGCAUCUAGCAACGCAUCAUGGCCACCCAAUUGUUGGGAGAGUCAAAGGGUUAUUUGACAACCUUUCAGUGUGCAGCCUAUCAGUGUAAUUCAUUCCCUCAUCAUAUAUCCCGAAGAUGAUAAGAGCUUGGUACAAUGUCUGCUCUUAUUGAACUUCAUAUUUGUUCUUGCAAUUAUAGCAUUAGCUUUAUAAAGAGUUAUGAAACCUUUUUCAUUAUCUUUAUGUCGCCUUGGCCAAGGACUUCAAUAAGCUAAUGUUAACCAAGAAUUGAUAGGAUAUGUCAUCUAAAACACUUGAGGUAAUGAUUCCUAUCUUGACCACUCAUUUGCCGUCACAUGCUUCAUACUAUACCCAAAAGCAUCCUGUUUUGGCAUCCUUGGUUAGGCAACCGUAGGGAUGAAAUCAAAGUAUAGCACUCCACACAUAAGACAACCUGGUAUCUCAAGUUUAGGGAGUAUUUACACGACUGACACAUGAGAAGUGUUGGAUGGACACUAGAGUGUAUUACCAAAUGCACUUCUCAUGGCGAGUCAUGUUCAGUGAACUUGCUCUCCCAAGCAAGCACCUAUAAUCUGGUUCCAAGUAUCUCUAUUCUUCAAUCUAUGAGAUCAAUUGCUUACUUCCAAAAUAAGGAACAUAGAAUAUACCAGUCUCUAAGCAUCACUGAUGUCUAGUCUUAAUGAUACAUUUACCAGGAACAUUUUUGAGAUUAUGCUUUAAUGCAUAGGAAUCUCAUAACUACAACCCAUUACAAUUUCCUUGCAAGGCAUAUUAUUCUCAUGGAUUUCAUCCAAUUAAACUUAUAACUCAUUAUAAUUGAUGUCUUAUUGAUGAAGAAAAACCUCUAAUCAUUCAAUAUGAAUGAUUCUGUUGCAUGAUUGGAAUCAAGCCUUAACCAAUCUCAUUUGGCUGCAGGGCUAAUCCCAACAGGUAAUUAGGCCAAACAAGUAUGAAUGGAAAGAAAUUAAAUUACCCCUACAGUUGUAUCAGUUUACUAAUAAUGAUAUCGUUUGGUAAGGAUUUUUUGUCUCCAGAUUUUGGUUCGAUCAACCAUUUUUUGACGUCCAAAUUCACUACAUCUAAAUGUCAUUACUAUAAAUUUAAGCCACUCCAGAUAUUUUCAAUAAUUUCUUUUUUCUUUCUUCAGCAAGUGGGAAGAAUUUAAAGAGGAGUAUAAUAAGAAAAAAAAUUCAAAAUUGCAAUAAAGAAAUUGUUAAUCUUAUAUUAAAAAUUCACAUUCUAUAUUAUUGUUAUUUCAGCACUCGGCUUAAUUCUUGUUGACUUCGCCACUGCCGCUGUUAAUCCGUAAAUUAGGGUCCUUAUCUUAAAUUUAGUUAUUGUUGAUGGUCGGACUAGAAUCGCUAUGCAACUUGGAGUUUGGACCUAUUUUCCACCUUUGUAUCUAUCUUUGUUAGUAGGUUUUGUUUUGAAGAGUUUGAAUACUCUAUCUGAUGAUUUUAUUCAUGAGGCAUGGUGUGCUUAAAUACAAAUGGUGAUGGUGAUAACAAGGAAAUAUAUAUUUACAAUAAGUGGUUGCCUAAGGUAAAGGCAUGGAUUAUGCCACAGUUUAAGAAAUCAAUUACAUUGGUUAUGUUGUUGACUAAGGAAUCAAUUAGUCAAUGAUUAUCCAAAAAGAUCUCAAGUCAAAUCUCUUUCAUUACUCCCCCUCAAGUUGGAGCAUGUAAAUUGGUAAUGCCCAACUUGGCCAACAGAUCAUGGAAUCGAUUUCGUCCAAGAGCCUUGGUGAAAAUGUCUGCUAAUUGAAAGUGUGUUGAAAUCGACUUAGGAACAAGGAUCUUUCACUGAACAUGCUGUCUGAUAAAGUGACAAUCUAUUUCGAUAUGUUUGGUGCGUUCAUGAAAAUUGGAUUUGCUACGAUAUGAAUUGCACCCUAAUUAUCACAAAAUAAUGAAAUUGGUGUUGGAUGAGAAAUGCGCAGAUUGUCCAAUAAUCUUAGGAGCCACACAAUCUCACUUGCUGUAGUAGCCAUGGCUCUAUAUUCUGCUUCUGUGAAUGAUCAAGAAACUAUUGAUUGUUUCUUGGAUCACCAUGAAAUGGGUGAUGAGCCAAGAAAAAUGAUGUACCCAGUGGUUGAUUUUCGUGUUGUUGGACAGCCCGCCCAGUCUACAUCACAAUAGGCUCGAAGUGUCAAUUGGUUAUGACUAGGCAAUAAUAAACCUUGACUUAGUGCUCCUUUUAGAUAUCGUACUACCCAUAAGGCUACAUCAAAAUGUGUCUAACGCGGACAGUGCAGGAAUUGACUUAAUAUAUGGACAACAAAACUAAUAUCAAGUCGAGUGAUGGUGAGGUAUAACAAUCUACCUAUCAAUCUCCUAUAUUGUCUUGGGUCUGAACAAAGUGGGCCUGGAUCAAGAUAUAACUUGAUUUGUUAGUCCAUAGGUGAUGCCGCGGGUUUGUACCCAAUAAGUCCGCUAUCUGUCAAUAUGUCAAGCACACAUUUUCGUUGAUUUAAGACAAUUCCAGAUGGCGAUCGUGCUUCCAUAAUUCCCAAAAAGUAUUUUAACUUGCCUAAGUCUUUGAUGCAAAAUUCACGAUCCAAAUGAGUUUUUAGUUGAGAGAUUUUGAGUGUCAUUCCCUAUUACUAUGAUUUCAUCAAUAUAAACUAACACUGCAAUAAAUGAUUCUUUGGCAGAACUUGUAAACAGAGAAUGAUCGGCAUGAGAUUGUGUUAAACCAAUAGCCAGUAAAGAAUUAGUAAGCUUUUGAUACCAAUUUCGUGACGCUUGGUGAAGUCCAUAGAAAGAUUUCAUAAAACGACAUACUCGUUGCUCCCCUUUUUUGACAAAACCCUAAGGUAUUUUCAUAUAAAUUUCUUCUUCCAAAUCCCCAUGUAAGAAUGCAUUAUUGACAUCCAACUGAUGCAACUCCCAAUGAUGUACCGAAGCAAUUGCUAGAAGACAGCGGACAGUGACUAAUUUUGCAAUUGGGGCAAAAGUCUCAUGAAAGUAUAUCCCUUCAAUCUGAGUAUACCCUUUGGCCACUAACCGUGCUUUAUAACGUUCCACUGAUCCAUCUAGGUUGUAUUUAAUUUUGUACACCCAUUUGGAAUCUAUAGCUCGUUUUCUUAGAGGCAAAGAUGUGAGAAUCCAAGUGUUGUUUGCCUCUCUAAUGCCGAUAUUUCUUUCUCCAUAGCAUCUCGUUAGUGUUGUAAUUUAACUGCGUGAAAAAAUGAUUUAGGCUCAUCGAUAGCAGAGAUGGCCGCUAGAAACACACUAUGAGCUCUAGAAAAUUUGGAGUAAGAAAUAUUGUGUGAUAGAGGAUAUACUAUUGAGUUGGUCGAAAGACGUGUAAGAAAUAUUGUGUGAUAGAGGAUAUACUGUUGAGUUGGUGGAAGGAGGUGUAGAGUGCGAAGUAGGAGCAAGUGAGGCAAGCAAAGUAUAAUCGUAACCAAAAAGAAUUUUUGAAACUUGUCGCUGUUGCUUAGCAUGGAGUGCAUCGUGUUGUUCUUUCAUUUCCAUUCUUGGCUCAAUCAAUGAAAGACAUUCUGUAAGUUGGCUGUCUUCUUGUUGGCCUGAUGAUGUUGACUUUACUGGUAUAGAUGUAAUAUCAGGAUUUUGUACUACCCCAAGUUCCUGCUUAUGAUCCUGCAGCUCCUGUUGUGUGGGACUUAGGUGAUCAUGUGGCUCAUCAAAUGACAUAGGUGGAUUAAUUUGCACGUGAUGUGUCUUUUUUGCAAUUGAAUCAUUGGUUUCCUUAUCUAUCUUGGCAAAAGGAAAUAUUUCCUUUCAAAACUGUACAUCUCGAGAAAUGAAUAUUUUCUUGCUUUCAAGGUCAUAUAUGCGAUACCCUUUCUGUCUCGUGGGGUACCCAACAAAGACACCCGAUCGGCUACUAGGAGCAAACUUGUCACGUGGUUUGUUGAUAUGCCCAUAACAAAGACAUCCAAAUGUUCCAAGAUGAUCAUAUGAUAGAGAUUUUCAAAUAAUUUCUCAUAUGGGGUCUGAUUUUCUAUGACUGAAAGUGGCAUGCGAUUGAUUAGAUAAGUUGCUGUGAGUAUACAUUCGCCCCAAAAGUUGAUGGGAAGGUUGGCUUGGAAUUGAAGUGCACGUGCUAUUUCUAAAAGAUGGCGAUGCUUCCGUUCAACCACUCCAUUUUGUUGAGGUGUGUUCGUGCAGCUUGUCUGUCUCUCCAUCCCAUACUCAACAUAGUGAUUCGCCAAAUCCUCAUGAUCGAACUCCAAUCCAUUAUCUGUUUGUAAUAUCUUGACUUGUGCAUUAAACUGUGUUUGACCUGUUGGAAGAAAUAAAGCAGAAAACUCUUUGUUUCUGAUUUAUGUUUCAUAAGAAACACCCAUGUUGCUCGGCUGUAAUCAUCAACAAUUGAUAGAAAAUAAUGCGCUCCUAAAAAGGAUGCGAUGUGAUAAGGACCCCAAAUAUCAUAGUGAAUCAAAUCGAAAGCUUGUGAACUUUUAUUCUUACGACUUGGAAAAGGCAACCUAGUUUGUUUUGCUUUACAACAAGCAUCACAAAGAAAAUUGUCCUUUUUAUAUAAGUGAUAGCCAAGUUUGGAACCAUUGAGAGGCACUACAAUGGAAUGUGCCUUAACCGAUAAUGCCAUAGAGUUGUGGUGUCUUUGUCUUUAGUCAGAACUGUUUUGCUUGUUCUUGUUGGCUCUAAAUAAUAUAAUCCAUUUCGCACUCUACCCACUCCAAUUAGCUUCUUCGAGAGCAAGUCUUGUAUUACAAAAAAAUCAGAUCCAAAAAUUAGAAGACAGUUCAAGUCACAAGUUAUUUUGCUUACAGAUAAUAAGUUAAAACAAAACUCUGGUACGCUAAGAACUCGUUCUAAAGUCAGGCUUUGCCCAAGAUUUAUUCGGCCUAAAGCAUGAACUGGUACAGUGUGACCAUUCGGAAUUUGAACUGAUGGAAUUUUAGGAUUUCGACCAUAUCUCAUAGACCAUCAAUUUGAUGAGUGAUAUGGUUUGUGGCCCCAGUAUCAAUUACCCAUGAGUCGUCCUUUUUCCAAGAAAGUUACCAGAGAAAUUAGCAUUGGAGGCGAUGUUUGCAACUGGCCCAUUACUAAAGUUGGUUUGGACAAGUCGCUGGUUCAAAAGAUCCAUUAAUUGUUACAUCUAGGCCUGAGUCAAUCUAGGAAUUAAAGUGGAAUCUCCUGUUCUUUUGGAAGAAGAGGAAGCUGGCCCAAAAGAAGAUGAACCUAUCUGUUCAAUUGAACAUCAUUUGACCUUGCCACAAAAGCACGUGCUUGUCCCCCAACGUCCCCAACAGGUGUUCUGGCCACCCAAUCACUGCACGAUUCUCCUUUGGCCUUCGGUCUUUGUUGCCAAUCAGGUGGGUCGCCUAUAAUUUCAAAACAUGACUCAUAGGUGUGGCUCGAUUUGUCGCAAUAAGAGCAUCUGGGAUGUGGCCUUUGCUAUUCACCACGUCGCUCAUUUCGAUUGCCGGUGCCAUGCCUUCUCAUUCCACCGACGAUUUGAUUUUUGGUCAAUAGGGCUGCCGUUUUCGUCACUCCAACCCAUGCUACUGUAAUAUCCUCUUGUUUUUCUUCUUGGGCUACAAUCGUGUAGGCACGCCCAACGCUAGGCAACGAUUCAAUGCUGAGGAUUUGUGAACGCACAAUCCUGUAGUUGUCAUCCAAGCCCAUCAGAAAAUCGAAUAGCUUUUCUUCUUAUAGCAUUUCUUGCAUCUGUCUAGCUACACCACAAGUACACUUUCCACAACUACAAACUGUUAAGGGUUGAAAAGUUUGGAUUUCAUUCCAUAAUGAUUUUAAUUUUCCAUAGUAAGUGGAAAUUGGAACCGUUUCUCGUCUUAAAAAUGCGAUUGCUCAUUUGAGUUCAGAAACUCUGGGAGCAAUUCCCUGAAUGAACCUUUCUUUAAGGUCAGUCCAUACCUUAUUAACAGUCUCUGCAUGUAUGACUCCCCCUUGCAAUUCCCUGGAGAGAGCGUUAAUCAACCAAAAUAAUACCGUUGCAUUACACUGCACCCAAUCUCGAAAUUCAGGAGAACUAAUUUUUGGUUUUGGGAUUGACCCAUCCACGAACUCUGCUUUAUUCUUGGAUUGAAAAGCAUUCAUAAAAUUGCAUUUCCAAGUGAAAUAGUUUUUCCCUAUUUCACUUAGGGGAUGAGUAACGAAAAUUAGACCAGGGUGAUCAGAGGAGUGCAGAUAGUAAGGUGAUUUGACGUCAACUACAGUGUUGUUUGAAGUGACUGUAGUCGGCACCAAAUUUCCAUUACCCUUGUCUGCUUCUACCUCACCCCUAUUAGCCAUCUAGAUAUAGCUUAGGUUGUCUGCAACCUCUGCUCUGAUUCCAUGAAGAGUUUGAAUACUCUAUCUGAUGAUUUUAUUCAUGAGGCACAGUGUGCUUAAAUACAAGUGGUGAUGGUGAUAACAAGGAAAGAAAUAUUUGCAAUAAGUGGCUACCUAAGGUAAAGACAUGGAUUAUGCAUGGUUUAAGAAAUCAAUUACAUUGGUUAUGCCGUUGACUAAAGAAUCAAUUAGUCAAUAAUUAUCCAAAAAGAUCUCAAGUCAAAUCUCCUUCAUUAGUUUUUUAUUGUUCUUUUCUUCUUCUUGUGUUCUUGUACUAAUGAUUUCAUUAGUUUCUCUUAGCAAUUAAUUUCUGUCUUUUACUUUAUCUGAUCCCUGAAAUUCAGAUUCCUAAACCUGAACUAAAGUUUGGAAUGUUUUUCUUUAUAAAAGAGGUAUUAAGAUUAUUGAGCUAUAUAUAUGUAUAUGUAUAGCUACGAGCCAUUUUAUUUUUACUUGGAAGGUAGAAUAUUUCAUUGAUGUAAAACAAGGAUACCAGAUGCCUGAUCAAGUCUUUAGCCUAAGGGAACGGGCACAAGACUGAGUCAUGCAUACCCUCCCUUGUCCAAAAAACACGAAAACGCUAUACACAGCCAACACCCAUCCUGUGGCUAGCAGCAGAAGCCACCGGAUUGGUCUCAACCAUCCUUGUGUUCCAGUACAUUUAAUUACAUAGUUCCCAGAAACACAGGUAACGACAGUUCCCCUUAAUUCCCACAGCCCAGUGCCAUUAAACAUAUUAUCCACCAAGAAUUCCGCCACUCAACUCUCCAAAAUGGAGCAUCUCUCUGCAGCCUUUUAUACCGAUUGGUCCCAGACUUGACGGAUGGGCCAAGAAGACCAAGACCAAGACUAAGGGAAGACAUUACCAUCUUCCUCUAUAAUAUGUCCUCGUACUUUAGCACAUUUGCUUUUCACUUUGAUUUAUUAUGUAUCAUACGCUUAACACCUUUCUUUCCUUUUUGCUUUCCAGCUUUUGUUUGAUUAAAAUGGUCCUCCCCCAAUAAUUGAAUUCUUUAUUCAAGAAGCAAAUAUAAAGGGAUACCUGUUAAUUAUGAAAGAUCAAAUUAAUAGUUUAUAUAAAGCAAGAGAUCGCGUAAGACAAAAAAGGACAAACCAAAGAGCUUGAAAUAAAAUUUUUAUUACAUAAUUUUAGACUAUACAAAAGAGAGAUAAUAUUCUUUUAUUAUAUCUCAUAAAUCUUAUUUUAUCUAUGUCAAGAUUGGAAUCCAAAAUCUUCUUAAAUUUUAAUUAUUGGUUGGGUAUCGUUUUAUGGACAGCGUUAACUAAAAUUAACCUAAGGAAAACUAAAUAUUCCAAAUUUAUGUUUGAUUGCUUUAUUUAUUUAUUUAUUUAUUUUGUUACGUAAAAGAAUUUUUUAAAUUGAAAAAAAAAAGUGCACAAGGAGAGGCAAAGGAAAAAAAAGGUCUCAAAGACCCUAAAGAUAAAGCAAACAGAGGAUUCUAGAACAAAAAAACUUCCAAAACAUAAUGAACAUAUAGACCAUAACCCCAAAGCAGCUAUAUAAAACAGUAAAACUAGAUGCAUACACAAAAGAACAGACCACCAUGUAAGAGAGACCUGGCAGUAUUUACUGGAAUCGAGA